CUCUGAACAAAAUGCAUGUUUACAAUAAAAAAACUCUUCCAUCUGAGGCCUAUUUACAAUAACAAAACUCUUCCAUCUGAGGCCUAUUUACAAUAACAAAACUCUUCCCACUGAAGGCCACAAACCUAAAAUGUCGCUAGACACGAUAAUCAUCUUUUGGUAGGUAUCCAAGUUGCUUAAGAUACCACAGAGCUCCCUCUGCUGCAUGCUCAUGCGCUGCUUUCUUUUGUAGCUUAGGAUCGCUAUAGCACUCCAAAAGGGUCGCUGAAGUUCCCGUGAUCUGAAUAAGGACCUUACAAGUGAACCUGCAUGUAAAAAGACAUAAAUCAUACGUCACUCGACACCGACAUUGUUUCCCAUACUUAGAAUAGUUGGCCAAGCAAUAUAGUCCAAAACGUACAAUGAUAGAUAUAUUUCAGCUUUGCUAAUAUAGAAAACUGCAUGAACAGAGUUAUUUUAGCCAAUGUUCCAAAACUGAAACGCUAAUUACCACUCCUUGAAGCUAGAACACAAACAUCAUUCCAGCUUCAAGGACAGAAUUCUGAUUGUAAAAGAUACAAGUCUAUAAGUUUUCUCGCUCAGAUAUUUAGUAAGUAGAUGAGCUUACUUUCGAAGGUGGCUUGGUCCUUCACCUUUGCAUAACUCAAAAUCAGGAGGUUUCCAAUAGUUUGCAGCACAUAGUUCAUAAAGGAAUGACCUUGCUGUUUUGCGUACCAUGUCACCUGUCAAGGUAGGAGUACUAAACAAUAUUAUAAAGAUAUUACCUCCAAAAUUGAUCAAAAUCACAAUAUGGUCACAUUUCACGUGCAAAACAUAACCGCCAAACAUGUUUUAUUGUAUAGUUUAGUCAUAAAUUUUGUAACUUUUCAUUCAAAAAUGUUUUUAAAAUAAAGUGCACACUUUAUGGAUACUAGUUAUGUUCUAGGCAAUAUAUGGCCUGUUUAGUUCCUCAUUUGAGCCAAAAAAUUUUGGGUUUUGGCUCACCAUUUUGCUGAAUAGAACUAAGCACCAUCCAAAAUUUUUAGCAAAAUGGUUGUCAUUUUGGAUUUUGGCCUCAAGAGGGCAAAAAAAAACCCAAAGAGCCUUCACUACCCCCACCUAACCCUAAAAACUUUGGCAUUUUGGAUGAAACUAAACAUAACCCUGAAAAUUUUGGCAUUUUAUAUUUCAUCAUUCCAAAGUAGUUGCCAUUUUGCAUUUUGUACUCUAUGGGGAACUAAACAGGGCCUAAGUAUACACUAUGGUGUUGAGCUUGUUCAUUUGAGCUUAUCUGCGAAUCUGCCAGCCAUUCGGCAGUGUUUUUCAAUCAGCGCACAGUAUUUUCAGUGAUGGCUUAUCAGCCAAGCACCCAGGUUGUAUGCAAUUGCCCCUUUUCCAUGCAGAACCUUUUUGUAGCAUAUUUCCUAUCCUAAGUGUGUAUCACAGGUCUAUGCGUAGUUUGACAAGCACCACAGGCAUCUAGAUGCCAUAAGAAUAUUAAAAAGACCAAUAAAGGAUCCACUACCAACGGCUACUGUAGAUUUAUAAAUGUAAUUAAGGGCUUCACAUGUUCAUCUGGCUGGUUGGAAUCUGUAGUUGACACCUUGCAUGCUUCAUUUCCAAGCUUUAGAUGACAAGCAUAUUUUACAGAGAGAAAAAAUGGAGUUUAGAACCAUACCAUGAUACUCUCUUUGGUUUGUUUUAUCAGUUGCCCCUCUAGGUAGACAACCAUUCUGCACGACCACAUUGGACUUAUUGUUCCUUCCAUUAUUAGCAUCAUUCUUGUCAACCUUGUUAUCUCCUGUUGUACUCUGAAUGGAGGUUUCAGACCUCCCGUUCAAAGACACUUCUUUAUUUUGAAAAAAGAUGUUUCCUUCCAUUUCUCCAUUUAUCAAUAGAUUCUUCAUUUGUAUGUCAUCCUCAACAUUGAUUGGUUCUUCAUCAUAGCCUAUCAGCUCUGAUUCUUUUUUCGUGGUAGCACGCAAAAUUUCCUCCAGUGACUUUCUUUUAUGCUUGUAUCCAUUAUUCUAUGUAAACAUGCAAGGUUGCAUUAUUGCCACAAAUAAGAUGAUUUUGCCAUGCCUUCUAAGUAAUUAAUAAAAAAAAUCAAGAGUAUGAAAACUAUGGUGCUAGAGAAACAUGCAAUUUCCAUUUCAUAACAUAUUGCCAAAACAAAUAUACCUUCAGUUUCAAAAGUGCUUCUUGUGCAGCCACCUUUCUAGCAUCUUUCGAAUUCCGGUUUGCUGCAGUACAGCUUAUCAUCUUGCCAUCUAUGUUAACUUCUACUUUGACAUGGAACUCUCCAUUGUCCUCCGUAGGUUUGGGAAGUCCUAACUCAAAACCAUUAUAUUGACAAAUUUCUCUGAGUUCUCUCAUAGGAUCGAUGUGCAUGCCACAGAAGCUCAAUAUUGGCUUUAGAAGCAUUAGCAUUAGCUUCCAAACAUGGUUCAGGUUGAAGCCGGAAUCUAAAAGCACCGCACCAACACAAGAUUCAACAAUAUCACCAAGAACCUGCAUGGUUACAGCAAAAGCAUGCAAGCUUUGAUUAAAAACAAAAUACCAAGGUGUCUCCAAUAAACUACAUGAUUCAUUCAGAAAAUCUAUUUUCAAAAAGGAGUUCCUAAUGUAUUACAUAGGCUGAACAGAAGUUUUUGAAUUAAUCCUAUACUUGAAUGAUCUAGGAUUCCAAAUACAUGUUUAUCUUGCAAUAGCUAUACCUCAAAUUCCACUCUCUAAUCUUGUAUUCCCUCAGUCCCAAAUGCGGGCUAUUUUAGGAUUCUAGCUGGUCAAACUUUGACUUGACCCAUCAACAUAUUUACAUAGGUUGGCAAUAUAUGGUUGAUGCUGCUAGAUUCAUCAUGAAAAAUACUUUUAUAACUUUAUAAAAAAAUAGGAAGUCAAAGUGUCAUUGGUGCCCGGUUGGCGCGGAAGAUCCCCUCAAUGGCCACCCACAGAUCGCGGGCGGUUGGAUCUGCGUCAUUCAUGGCGAGGUCGAGGACGGAGUCAUCAACGGAGCCUGAGAUCCAGCCCUGGACGCAGCACUCCGUGGCAUCCCACUGAGGAUCAUCAGGUCGAGGGGGAGCAGAGCCGUCGAUGUACGAGCGAAGGCCGAACUUGCCGCACAGCGACUUGAAGAAGAACGCCCACUUGGAGUAGUUGGAGUGAAGGUCCAACGUAAUCGGGAUGUGGGACUUGACAUUUACUGUGGCGUAGUGGUGAGCCACGAUUGGUGCAGCAGCGCCGGCGGCCAUGGCACCCAACGGGGCAGCACCGAUGGAGGGCAUGCUGGAAGUUGCCGGCAGGGUGCCGGCACCGGUGGCCGGGGAGGAGGCAGAGGUGAGGGAGCCCGAUGUGUCCAUUGGAGAGGAGAGGAGGAGCAGCCGGUGAGGGUGGACGGGCGCGAGGGAGACGCGCGCGUGGUGGCUGCAGCGCGGUCAGGAAGAGGCCGCGUGUGGAAGGGAAGUGCAGAAAACUAGGAUCUGAUAGGCUGAUACCAUGUAAAGACACACCUCACACCCAAUAUGGGGGGUGGGGGGUGGGUGACCUUCAUAUAUAUAGCCAAUAUGGCUGGGUAUACAAGGAAUACAAUCAAGUGUACAUAGCAGGUGCUAAUUAUAGCUAAUCACGCAUAGACCUGCCUAAUAUGUCUAAUAGUUGGAGACUGUCAUUGUCCUCAACAACUUACAUUUAGAACCAGAGGGAAUAUAGAAAAUUCAAGAAGCUCCUUUAGCAGUAAUUACUAAUUGUGACUUUUUGUUUCAACUCAAAGAAAAUAAAAGAAGUGUUAGCAAAGAAAUGUAGGAAAAAUACACUGAGAAAGAGGUGAUUCACAAAUUCUAUAGAAAGAUAACUGAAGUUUUUGCAGCAAGUAAAAAGAAUCAAGGAAAGCACAUACCUUUGGACAAGUUGGUUCUUCUAACAAGUCUUUCUCUGAACUGGAAAGAUUAACAUAAUUCUGAAAUUUAUUUAUCGCUGCCGUAAGAGAUUUAGAAUCCUUUAUGAGAUAUUUAUGGAUAGAUUUCUUAACGGCCACAUAAGCAAAUGAAUUAUUAUUCAAAGCUAAUGAUUUCAGAUCUGUUAGUUGACCAGGCUUGAGAUCAGGGUAAGCUGAGUAGAGGUACGAGGCCAUCAAAUAAUCCAAAACAGCGUCUCCAAGAAACUCCAUCCUCUGAUUAAAAAUGUACAGAAUAUGCUGAAGUGAGUGUUCUUUACUAUCAGAAUAGUUCACUAGCAAUUAGAUAAAAAGGGAAAAAGGAAGGUCGGACCUGGUAGCAUCCUCCAGAAUGCUUAUUGAAUGAAGGGUGUACAAAUGCUUGGAGAAGAAGACCCUUGUGCUUGAAGGUGUAGCCAAUCAAUUCUUCAAGCUCAGAAAUGUUCAUGUAAUUCAUGAGAGACAAAUUGGUGGAGCUUGCAUCUAAUACUCUAUAGAGAGCUGAAUUUUCGAAAUCAACUUUUAUCCCAAUCCAACGUAGGAAUGCAAAUGCAGCUUUGAAUCCACACUCGACAAGAAAAGCUCCAAGAAGUGACUCAACAACAUCUGCAAUUGUCUUCCUAUGCAACCAAUGAUGUGAUUUUGUACACCUCAAGUUACAGUUUUCACGUCUAUCUGGGUCGAUAUUCUUCGGGUGUAAAGUUGCUUCUCUGUCAGGAUUGCAAACAACUUUACAAGGUCUUCCCAAUGCAAAGAACUGAGUAGGUUCAAAGUGUUGAUCCCGUAUGUAUACCUAUAUUUUGCAUCAAGAUGUUUUAAUUUUGUGUAACACAGCGAGCAACAAAUUAUUCUCACCUGAGGUGAUAAAGGGAAAACAUGUGCACAAAGUACAGGAGUCAUGAUUCUCUACUUAAACUUCUUGAAGGCCAAUAACCAUAAUGUAAACAAGAAACAUGAUAAAAUAGAUCAGAAACAGAAACAAAUGUGUUCAACAGAAAUGGAUGGUAAUUAAGAAAGAAUCAAAUUCACAUCAAAGCUAAGUUGCACAGGGGUGGACAAGGGGGGUUUUCGAUGCAGGGGUGGAGCCACAUUGUGGCUUCUGGGUGCGAUCAUGCCAUCAAAAGAAGUCAGAAUCAAGUUACAAUGCCUAAUUUUGCACCCUAGCAGCCCAAGCCUAUGUACCAACAGCCGAGGAGCCUAGGCUAUUGCUUGAAUAUAGUGCCAUAUGAAUGUAAUUGUGCCUUUGGAACGCAUUUGGAAAUCAUGGGCACCACUGCUUUGUAAGUUUUUCAUGUGAUCGGCAAUUGUUAACCGAUGCUGGACCACUGAUAGGCUAGAUAAAUAACCACUGCCUUCUGUGUAAUCAAGCUCCUGAAACGAUGCAGCCCCUCCUGAUUCUUGUGUGAUCUACGGGCUUGCGUAUGGUGGGCACUGCAGGCUGACACAAUAGGGCUUUUCCCUUGUGGAGCCAAGCUAUUAAACAGGCCAACAAGCAACUUAAAAAGGUAUCUAAUUCCUUGGUUAUUCUGGUUGCUUGGGAGUUACGGAAAUACUGCAACAAAGGAGCCUACUAUGGUGCUUCUCUAGAUGUGAACAGGGUUGGUGUUUUUUGUGGUUCUUAAAAAGGAGCUCCAGCAUGGCUAUUAGUAGGACACACAAAGCGCUUUAAGGCCUUUUUUUUGUCUGUUUUCUUUCUCAACCACUGCGGCAUAUGCCCUAACUUGUUUUGCAUGGGAUAUUUGAUAUUGUACUCCUGCAUGUUAAAAAAAUGCAACACUAAGUCUCAAGUCACAAUGUGGGUCUGUCUAUAAAUAGCCAGGAAAAAAAAAUCAUGAUUUAAACUUUUUUGCCAUCUUGUGCUUGAGGUUCAACCACUCAAACCAUGUAACCAUGUCAGCACAAGGACAAGCACAUUGGAUCUCUUCUACAAUAAGAUAGGAUGAAAUAACUGCUAUAACUAUAUAAAACUUAGCAUAAAAUAAAUAUUGGGAUCAUUGAUACAAUCAACUCACCUGCAAAUUUCUUCUAAUUGACAACUCGUAUAAAUUUGAAUUACUCACUAUAUCAGAACGUCUCCUGGUCAACUGACCUUCAUCAAGUCCUUCAUAUGAAAUAAAGUUAUGGCGCCCAACUACAUACUUCAAGAAAGCAUCACCUAGGACUUCUAAUCUCUCCAAAGAGAUCCUCUCUAAACACCUUUCAGUAGUCAGUGCUUCAAGGAUCUGUAAUGAAUGUCGUAAAUCACAAUUACUUCAGCAUAGAUAACAAAAUGAAAUUAGAAGUUUCCGGCUCAACAGUGCGAAAGUUAGUAUUACUUACACCCGAGGCACUAAUUUGAGAAGCCUCUGGGAAAUAGGAUGACAUGACAUUCUUCAACUCAAUAGCCACCAACAAAUUCUCCAAGCGACACAUUAAAGAUGGUAGCAAGGACAAAGAACUACCCAUAUCUUUUGAGAACCCAGUUAUCUUCAAAGAGCAUAGUUCUGGAGGUAACUCCACAAAGUGCUCCAUCAAUUCACGACCCUCAGAUUCUUAUAAGAAGCAGUGAAGAAAAAACAUAAUAUCAAAAGUACUGUACAAGGAUCAGAACCAUCAAAGAAUCACAGCAAUCAUCUCAGUGCUUAAAAUCCAUAAAAGCAGGAAGUAGCAAAAUACCAGAUCAAAUACAUUAACAUGCAGUUCAUGAAUCUGAUUAAAAUUUACAGUUGAAUUGAGUUGAAAGUAAAAUAAAAUAAAACAAGUGGUUGAACGAACUUCUCUCCAAUAUAUGUAUAACUAGACAAGUUAUAGUUUGCUUGGUACUGCAUAAGCCACAGCCAUCCAUGGGUGUCAAUCAAAUGGAUGAGAUCUUUUGAUACUAGGACUUGCUCAGUUACCUGUUAGUGGCAAUACCAAAUUUGGUUGGUCCCGACACCAAUAAUCAUAAGGUAAUUAUGAUAUUGCUCAUUUAGAUCUGAGAGGAAAACCCUAUUAGGCUCAUACCCACAGAAGUGGUCAUCUAACGUCUGUUAAUAUACUUCUGUCUGGCAACUGUACGUUUUAGCACUUAUGUAUCUCCUCAGCCACACACAGCUUUGAGUCGCUAAUGUUGCCGUCUGGACUCUGCACACUAAUGAAAGUAUCGUUCAUAUCUAACUAAGAGAGUACUGGGUACAGGUAACAGUUUUAACUGUCACUGCUGUAGAUGCCAUUGUUUGCCCCUUUUGCAGUCUUCCCUUUUUCUUUUUUUUUGGGGCAUGGGGGUGGGGGUGGGGGGGGGGGGGGCAAUAAUUGAUGGCAGUUGGUCAUGUAUCUAGUAUAGCAGGGCCUAAGUAUUGCCCACUGCAGUUUUGUUUUCCUUCUCUGUUUUAAAUUAUGUGGCUGUAAUAGGCUUGCUUGGGGGUCAAGAAGAUAAGACCCUUGGCAGCCAAGUUAACUAGGAAUCUACUCUAGAAUAUGCCUAUCCAAGAGGCAGCCCUCAGCCUAUAAGAGCUGGAGACAGGGCAAGGGGUUUUGUAACCGAGAUCCAUUUUUUGCAAUUCAAUCAAAAGGCCAUAGCAGGCAAACUGCCCUCUGGCUGUUGCCAGAUCAAUCUCGUGUUCACCAAAUUAUCCAACAAUUGGUAUCAGAGCGUGUUCUUGAUCCUGUGAGAUGGCCACCUCCGCAGAGAGAGCAGCCGCCGCUGCAGCAGCAGCCGCCGGGCAGCGCGCGCAGCGUCUGGCAGCGGCAGAGGCCGCAGCCGCGCAAGCGCAGCAAGCCGCGGAGGCCGCAGCAGCCGCAGCCAGGGAGGCCGCUACCACGGCCGCCGCUCUGCGUCGAGAGCUCUGGGAUGAGCAGCCGUUUGAGGAGGAGGAGCCGCACCAGGAUCUGCGCGAGGAGCCGCGCGAUCGCCGCCGUCCACUUCGGAGGAGCCCGGACCGGAUGCGCAGGCAGUCGCGGUCGCCGGAUCAGGAUCGCCGUCGCGGACGUGGCGGCAGGGGCCGCUCGCCGGUGAUCCAGGCGGUGUACAGGGACUCCGGCGGCUCCACCACCUGGCCGAUGCUGUCCAAGACCAACUACCACGAGUGGGCGUCGAUCAUGAAGCUGAAGCUUCAAGCCCGCCAGCUUUGGGACGUGAUCAAGUACGGCGAUCUUCCCCACCAUGAGGACCGCCGCACCGUCGAAGCGCUCAUCGCCGCCGUUCCUCAGGAGAUGCAGAUGCCGCUGUCGGAGAAGGCGACGGCGAAGGAGGCGUGGGACUCCCUCGCCACUGCACGCAUCGGAGGAGAACGAGCUCGGCGCACCGCUCUACAACGUCUUCGCCGCGAGUGGGAGUUGCUGUCUUUCCGCCCAGGUGAGCAGGCUGAGGAUUUUACUCUGCGCCUGGUUGCUUUGAAGCAGCAGCUCGCCCUCCAUGGCGACACGGACAUCAACGAGGAGCGCGCGGUGGAGAAGCUCUUGCGCGCUGCACCGGCCAAGUACGCGCAGCUCUGCAUCGCCAUCGAGACCCUCCUCGACUUCCAGGACCUCACCAUCGAGGAGGUGUCGGGUCGACUGAAGACGGUGGACGAUCUGCAGGAGGUCCCCGGAGAGCCCCUCAUCAUCGCCGGCAAGCUGAUGCUCUCGGAAGAGCAGUGGCAUGCACGGCAGAAGGAGAAGAAGAAGGGCGUCCAGGACUCUGCUUCCGCCAGCGGCAAGGAGCCGCGGCGUCGCCCCCGUGGCGGGAAGAAGCAGAGGGCCAAGAACGAGCGCCGCGAAGACGACGGCGAGCGCAAGGCCAACCGCGACGACAUCUGCCUGAACUGCAAGCGGCCGGGUCACUGGGCACGCGACUGCCGUGAUCCUCCGCGACAAGGCGGUGGCUGUGGAAGAGAUCGCGGCGGCCAGCAGCAGGGAGGCCGCGGCGGAGGCGGCGGCGGUGGUGCGCGGGGCGCAACACAUGUCGCCGAGGCGGAUUCGGAUGAUGGCGCGCUCUUCUUCGCCCACGGCGUCGUGCAACUGGAGGAGAAGGCGCCAGAAGUCCUCUGCACCAAGGGCGCCGCGUUCCUGGAUUUCGCCGAACCGCGCGCACGUGCUUUCCUCGGUGACGCCAGCGCCGAGGACAAGCUCGACGGCUGGUACCUCGACAGCGGCGCCACCCACCACAUGUCUGGGCGUCGUGAGAUCUUCUCCGAGCUCGACACGACCGUCCGCGGCACGGUGAAGUUCGGUGAUGCGUCGCGCGUGGAGAUCCAGGGCGUGGGCUCGGUCGUGUUCCAGGCGAAGAACGGCGAGCACCGCAUCCUCCACGGCGUCUACUUCAUUCCGGCGCUGCGCAACUCCAUCAUGUCCCUGGGUCAGCUCGAUGAAGCGGGCUCGAAGGUGGAGAUCGAGCACGGUGUCCUGCGGAUCUGGGAUCAGCGCAAGCGCCUCCUCGCCAAGGUAAAGCGCGGCAGCAACCGUCUCUACAUUCUUCACCUCGACGCCGUGCAGCCUGUAUGCCUCGCCGCGCGGAAGGACGACGAUGCCUGGCGCUGGCACGAGAGGCUUGGACAUCUGCACUUCGACGCGAUCCAUCGGCUCGGGAAGGAGGAGAUGGCCCGAGGCAUUCCGGUGAUCGAGCACGCGGCGCAAGUCUGCGACACCUGCGUCAUCACCAAGAUGCGCCGCCGGUCGUUCCCGCAGAAGGCCGCGUACCGCGCCGAGCAGCCGUUGGAGCUCGUCCACGGCGACUUGUGCGGGCCCAUCACGCCGGCGACUCCAGGAGGCCGACGCUACUUCCUCCUCAUGGUGGACGACGCCACGCGCUUCAUGUUCGUGGCGCUGCUCGCAACCAAGGACGAGGCGGCGCAGGCAGUGAAGAAGAUCAAGGCUCAGGCUGAGAAGGAGACCGGCCGCGAACUGAAGGUGCUGCGGACCGACAAUGGUGGAGAGUUCACCUGCUCCGAGCUCGCCGAGUACUUCGCCAUGGAGGGAGUCAAACGCCACUUCUCCGCGCCACACUCGCCACAGCAGAAUGGCGUUGUGGAACGGCGGAACCAAACGGUGGUGGCCACCGCGCGGGCUCUGCUCAAGCAGCGCGGCAUGCCGGCUCGUUUUUGGGGGGAGGCAGUGGUGACCGCAGUUCAUCUGCUAAACCGCUCGCCCACCAAGUCAUUGCAGGGCGUGACACCCUACGAGGCCUGGCACAGGCGCGCGCCGUCCGUGGCGCACCUGCGCGUCUUCGGGUGCGUCGCCUACACGCGCGACUUGGGGCAGCUGCGCAAACUCGACGACCGCGGCGUCCCCGGCAUCUUCAUCGGCUACGCUGAGGGCGCCAAGGCCUACCGAGUGUUCGACCCGGCGUCUGGGCGCGUCAAGACCUCCCGCGACGUCAUCUUCGACGAAGGACGUGGGUGGAACUGGACGACGCCGGCGGCCGGAUCCUCUGCAGCGGCAUCAAGUGACUUCGACAUCGAGUGGCCGGCCGAAGCAGAGGAGAUACCCGCGUCAACACCAACCUCCCCGAGCCCACCUCGCGCGCCAUCCUCUGCUCCGGGGGAGCAUGAGAGGAACGAUGCGGACGAGCCGAGAACUCCUGCCGCUGGCUCUACUACACCAGUUGCGGCAGUUGAGAUCGGCGAUCCGGUGGAGUUUGCUUCGCCGCUGGAGGGAGAUGAAGACCGGGUUGAUGCCUGGCACGAUGAUGAGCCCCUGCGCUAUCGCACGGUGGCCAACAUCCUCGGCAACGCUUCUACGCCGCCACCGCCGCCGCGCCUCUUCGCUGAAGUCCAUCUGACUCAUGCGGGAGAACCGGCAAACUUCGACCAGGCCAAGGACGACCCUGCCUGGCGCGCGGCUAUGGAGCAGGAGCUCAAGUCUGUGGAGCAGAACCACACCUGGGAGCUAGCUACGCUCCCGGCUGGUCACCGGCCCAUUACCCUCAAGUGGGUGUACAAGCUCAAGAAGGAUGAACGGGGCGCGGUGAUCAAGCACAAGGCGCGUCUGGUGGCGCGCGGGUUCGUCCAGCAAGAGGGGAUUGACUACGAUGACUCCUUCGCACCGGUGGCACGCAUGGAGUCGGUCAGGGUUCUCCUCGCGCUGGCAGCUCAGGAAGGAUGGUCUGUCCACCACAUGGACGUGAAGUCCGCCUUCCUCAACGGCGAUCUCAAGGAAGAAGUCUACGUGCGGCAGCCGCCGGGCUUCGCCGUCGCUGGGGAAGAAGACAAGGUCUAUCGCCUGCACAAGGUUCUGUACGGUCUGCGCCAGGCGCCUCGUGCCUGGAACGAGAAGCUGGACUCAACACUCAAGGAGAUGGGGUUUCAGCAGAGUUCUCACGAGGCGGCCAUGUACAGGCGGAGCAGUGGGCGGGCAGUUCUGCUCGUUGGCGUCUACGUCGACGAUCUGAUCAUCACCGGCACCAAUGAGAAGGAAGUGGCGGCGUUCAAGGCUCAGAUGAUGAAGGCAUUUGAGAUGAGCAACCUCGGGCUGCUGAGCUUCUAUCUUGGUGUCGAGGUCCGUCAGUCAGCUUCUGGGAUCUAUCUCCGGCAGACACACUACGCUGAGAGGAUUCUGGAGCUUGGAGGCAUGGAGGGCUGCAAUCCUGCAGCAACUCCCAUGGAAGAAAGGUUGAAGCUCAGUCGCUUCAGUACUGCUGAGGCAGUGGAUCCUACUCACUACCGGCGGUUGGUUGGUAGUCUGCGCUAUUUGGUUCACACCAGGCCAGACAUUGCCUUCGCAGUCGGCUUUGUCAGCAGAUUUAUGGAGAAACCCACCAUGGAGCACCUCGCAGCUGUGAAGCGCAUUCUGAGGUACCUCGCCGGAACACUGGAAUAUGGGCUGCACUUCACCAGAGCCCCUGGCAGUGCACGGUUCAUUGGCUAUUGUGACAGUGACCUUGGUGGUGAUGUUGAUACAAGCAAGAGUACCACUGGUGUUCUUUUCUUCCUUGGUCAGUGUCUGGUGUCUUGGCAGUCUAUCAAGCAGAAAGUAGUGGCACUCUCCAGUUGUGAAGCAGAGUAUGUGGCUGCUACUACUGCUGCUACACAGGCUAUGUGGCUGUCAAGACUGCUGGCUGAGUUACUUGGAAGACCCGUGGAUAUUGUUGAGCUGAAGGUUGACAGCAAGUCUGCACUGGCCCUAGCAAAGAACCCUGUCUUCCAUGAGCGCAGCAAACACAUCAGAAUCAAGUACCAUUUCAUUCGAAGCUGUCUGGAGGAUGGCAGCAUCAGGGCAGAGCAUAUCUCAACUGGUGAUCAGCUGGCUGACAUUCUUACCAAGGCAUUGGGCAAGACCAAGUUUGAAGAGCUCAGGGGAAGGAUCGGCCUGGAGGCAAUCUCAGCAAAGGAGAUCAAGACCAAGGGGGAGAACUGAUGGUAGUUGGUCAUGUAUCUAGUAUAGCAGGGCCUAAGUAUUGCCCACUGCAGUUUUGUUUUCCUUCUCUGUUUUAAAUUAUGUGGCUGUAAUAGGCUUGCUUGGGGGUCAAGAAGAUAAGACCCUUGGCAGCCAAGUUAACUAGGAAUCUACUCUAGAAUAUGCCUAUCCAAGAGGCAGCCCUCAGCCUAUAAGAGCUGGAGACAGGGCAAGGGGUUUUGUAACCGAGAUCCAUUUUUUGCAAUUCAAUCAAAAGGCCAUAGCAGGCAAACUGCCCUCUGGCUGUUGCCAGAUCAAUCUCGUGUUCACCAAAUUAUCCAACAAUAAUAACAGCAGGGGUCCUAAUAUAAACAUCAAGAUAAUAUAAAUCUGCAUAUUCUGUAGUAAAUGAAUACACUAUGCGCUCAUGAUCACUCACAUUGUUGUCAUCCAAUGUUAACAUUGUCUACCGUAGGGCCUUGAUCUUCUAAAUCAAUAUUCAUCUGGGUUUUUUUUUCAACUGUUCAUAUUACUCUGGAAAAAUUUGUCAAGGGGUCUUUUUAAUGAUUCUACUAGCUCAUGUACUUUUUUCUACAAUUCUAGAUGCAUGUUUUCUUUACAUACUUGAAAAAUAAAAAUCAAACUGGUAAUUGAAAUCUAAAUAAAUAUGAUCAUGAUUCAUCGAAGCAUUGCUUAUAAACAAUUAAUCCAUAACUCAUCAUGUACUAGAACCACUGACUAGCUUUAGGGCGAAGAUGGAAAAGGCAUAGCUGCACGAUAGGCGUACAUACUAUCGGGGAUGGUUUGAUCACUGGUUCACACAAUCCGGCGUCGCAGACUCAGCAGGUCCCAUUUAAAUAGCGAAUCUACGUUCGCUAGCACCAGCAACUAAAUUUUUGCAGCCAAGUCAAUGGCACAUGGACCAAAAAACAGAUCCAAAAGUACCCUAUGACGUGCAUUUUUUGUCAGGCCCAGCUGUCUAGGUAGUAUAUGUAUAUAUACAUACAGCACUAUGUUUCUUAGAGUUCUGAAUACAGCUGAGUCUGUAGUAUGUAUACUUAGUGAGGCCCUUGAUUUUGGGGGACCCAUGGGCCAUGGAAGCUGCCCCGCCCACACCCCUCCUCGAGGACCGGAUAUGGGAAAAAAGAGGGCAGGGGCAAAGAGGUUAUUUUAUGCCUCCAUGAGCGUUUGACACUUUGACUUGACAACAACGGCGUAAAAGGAUAGAAUUUGUAGCCAGAUACCAUAUAGGGGGUAAUUCAUUUUGUGACGGCAAAAUAGGGAUUCGGGUAAAUUGCAAUGGUGUAGAAAGAAUUAUCUCUCAUGGCAUACAAUCUAGGGGCUGUUCAGUUCCUGAAAAUUUUUGCAAAAUGCUACUGUAGCACUUUCGUUUGUAUUUAACAAAUUAUUGUCCAAUCAUGGAUUAACUAUGCUCAAAAGAUUCGUAUCGCAAAUUACAUGUGAACUAUGCGAUUAGUUAUUUUUUUAUCUGUAUUUAAUGCUCUACUAUGCAUGUGCCGCAAGAUUUGAUGUGACGGGGAAUCUAGAACAUUUUGCAAAAUUUGUCAGGAAGUAAAUGGGGCCCUAAUGGCUACACAAGCGAGGACUAACUAGGAUGCUGCCUGGUCUAUCGGUCAAGCAAGCAGAGGACUGACUGCACAGGUGCUUGCACGGUGGUGUGAUAAAGAUACGCCAUCUGCCAUUGUUUCUUUUUUGGCAUUAAACUGUGUUUGUGUGGGUUUUGAUCGAGGCUUGUCUCUUGAAUAAAGUAGGUUAGUCCUAGGUCCUUUCUCAAUCCGCCGUUAUCCCUAAUCUAUUUCUGGUUAUCAAACUGCUUGAGUUUCCAUAAUGAAAGUAAUGGAAAUGGUGUCUCAUAAUUUCAGAAGAGAGAAUUAUCCCCUUGAAGAAGACUAACCUGUGCUCUCAAGUUGUCGGUUAUGAAGCAGAUUACGCAGACAGAAGAGUUGCUUAGCUUUCAAAAGUGGCUGCUCAGGAUGGGAAAGCUCAAUAUGUAACCUGAUUUCAGUAAAGCAUAACAUUAUGAAGCAGUUUAACAGAUGCAUCGCCUACCUCCAUACUAUAAUAAUGAUACAGAAAUAAUGAUGCAUGGCUAGCAUAAUAUCAAGGCAGAUACUGAUAACUACGAGUGAUACAGCUCUAUUACAGAAAUAUGAAUAAAUAAAUCCAAAGACACAAUUCUGCUGGAUAUUUGUAGCUAGUUUGUUCUCAACAUAAAGGAUGUAUGCUAUCAUAGGAAAAUUCUAUUAGCUACAACCAAAUGAUCCAUUUUGUCCAUUUGACACCCCUAAACAAAAUUUAAGAUCAAUUCACUCCCACAAUCUAAUUCAAUUGGCCCAAUCUAGACCCUGAUGUGUUUUCUCUUUUUUUUCACGUGCAGGUUGAGAUUUAAGUUCAACAUUCUUGGGGUGAUAGAGUACAUGAUAUCCUAUGUUAGAAAGAAUACAUUAAGAGUUUUUCAACACAAAGAAGGAUACACAUAGGAAAAAGUUCACUUUACUACCCCAAACAAUCAACUUUGUUUGUUUGUCUACCUGCAGAAAAUUCGGCUCAAUUUGCUCCCCCAAAUUAUUUCAGUUUGUCCAAACUAACCCCUAAUGAUUUCUUUUUCUCUUUUGUUGCUUUGCAUGUUUGCAUGCAAGUUUCGUUUUGAGUUCAAAUUUUGUAGGGGAUAAAGGACACGAUAUCUUAUCUCAAAAAAAUACAUUAAGAAUUUUUCAUCACUAUUUUUCAUACAAUUUUGUGUUUCUCAGGUCAGUUUAGCUUUACAUUCUCCUAACUACAAAAACAAUAAUGAACAAUUCUUAAUAUAUACUUUUUUAACAAAAGUUAUGAUGUCCUUUGUGACUCCACAUAAUCUGAAAUUAGAAACUAAAUUUGUAUACAGGGAAACAAAAAAUAUAUCACUAGUAGGGAGUAGAUUGGACCGAUUGAAAUAGUUUGGGGGAAUAAAUUGAGCCGACAUUUUGUUCAGGGGUUUAAGCGGAGAAAGUGGAUUGUUAAGGAUAGUAAAACAAACUUUCCUGAUUAUCAUAUUACAUAGCAUAAUACUUAUACUUCUGAAAUGGCAUGCAUAACUCUGAAAUCUUAGAGCUCUGUGAUCUAACUAUAUUUGCCUUGCUGGCAGCCCAACAUGGUAUAGUACAUUUUUGCAAUGUAUGCUAAGAAUGGCAUGUAAGAAAUAAUUCAUCCUUUUACCUUUCCUUAAAAUGUUCUUCAUAAGUUGCACCGUUCAACUCACUUUUAGCAUUUGUUCCAUCCAGAAUGGAGUCAACGAAGAAAAACAGGUCGGUAUGGGGAGUAUAGACCAAACUGCCAAUGACAUCAGCUUUCUUGUAUGCUCCACCGAGAAGCUUCAAAGACUCAUUUGGCAAAUAUGAAUCAGGCAGAGACAAACCCAUUGGAUCUUGAAAUGCAGGUGAUGAUAAACACUUCUUUAUUGUUGGCCAAUCAAUCAUAUUAUCACCAUAGAAUUUCUGCUUGAUGGGAAGUAAAAGGUAAAAUGUUGAAUCCAUGUCCAAUGCAGCAUCAUUCCCCAACAAAAUAUAAGAUGAAGUGAACUCGGAUCUGUCCAGAAGAACUUUCAAAAACAUCUCUUGAAAAUUGUGUGCGAGUAUCAUCUGUAAGAUAAAAGAAAAGAGACAUGUGAGGCAAUGUUCCCUGAAAAUUAUGUCUUAGCAUUUGAACAGAUAAGCAAGACAGUGCCUCUUCUUUGUUAAACUCAAUCUUUCCCAAAUAUUUAAUUCCUGCUUUCACAAUCCUCGCAUGAGCAAGAUGCAAUUCAACAUCCAACUUUUCAGAUUCCUCUGGAAGGCGAUUGAUCACAAAAAGACCAAACAUCUGAUAUCGUCUAUCUGCUGGUUUGGGAAUAAAUUCUAUGUAAUAGAAAUGCAACUUCAAUGAGCAAUCUAGUUUGCAGCCUGAAGGUCUCAGAACUGCAGGGAUUAACAUCUCAUGAAGCUCUUCCCUAAAACUUUCAUCUGAAACAUGGAAAAAAAUGCUUAAGCCAAAUUACCAAUAUUAUCCGCAUCAUAUUCUGAAUAAUGAACAAUGACCAUACCCUCAUCUUUGUUGCUUUCUGAAAUAUUUGUUGUUGAUACCUUCAUCUUUCUAGAGCCUUGACCAGGUAGAAGAAAAUCUGUCAAAGCACCGAGUUCAUGAAGUUUAAUGCAUGCUUUCAAGCAUGCAUCUCUCUUAGCUUCAUCUUUCGAUGGACAGGGUUGACCAUUCACUUGACGGAAAGCAGCAUUUGGUGGAAGAAUUAGUCUGCAAACUAUUCCAUCAAUGUCAUCAACAAAGAAGAAUGAUGGGGAAGGAACAAAAAACCUGCAACAAGAUGUAUCAAAUUAUUCUAGUAGAGUAUUUACAUGACGCAAAAUGGGUAGAAUAAUAAAUGAUCCUUUGCAUACAUAUCUCUAGGAAGGUUAUCACAGUAGCGAUGUAAUAGAGAUACACUGCAAGCAGUGCUAAUGGAAGCACCAGUAUCAUUGACUCGAUAGAUGUUCUCCUCAAGGCAAUCGAACAUAUCAUUUGAUGUUCUCAAGUUAAUCUCUUUAUCCAUAAUGCUUUCACCAGUAAUAUAAUCAUCAAGUAACUUCUCCUGAGACUGAUUUCCCCUGGUAAAUAUCAAAAUGAAGAGCUUCAAGGUCUAGAACCAAAAACAAGGAACUAAAUUCAAGGAAACGUUAAUAGCAUUAUGAUAGGUUUGCGAAAAUUAGCCAGUGUAAUCGGUGAAUGCAGGCAUGUGCUCGUGUGGGUGGGUGUUACGAAAAUGACCUCUCCAGGAGAAAAACAUAUUUAGAUUUACUCAUUCGGGCACGUCCCCUUGACUGGAUAAAGCUAUUAACAGUUUCAGGGAGAUCAAACCGCACAACAAGGCAGCAAGUCUGAAUGUCAAGUCCCUCCUCACCUACGCUAGUAGCGACCAAAAGAUUCACCUGUAAAAAAAGUAAGGGAAAAGGGACUGUAACACAAGAAGCAUAAACAUAUAUACUGGUGUUAGUGGAGAUAAUAAAGAUAAACCUGACAAGGACUAUUAAGGAUGGACAGACUUCAGAUUAUACCUCACCCGAAGAGAACUUUUCAAUGAUAGAACCCAUCUUGUCCCUUGACAUGUUCCUUAAUCCUGAAUGGCAUCCCACAAGACACUCACAUUUCCAAAAAUCAAGGCACUUCAGUUUUUUGAGAAUAUGUGCUACUACUCUUGCGACAAUGAUUCUUUUCACAAAAACAAUGCAUUUCGUGUUCUCCUCCAGCCUGUAGAAGAAACCAAAGAGAAAACAACCAGGAUGAUGCCAAUAGAAUUGAAGGCACAAACUUGUUUUAAAAUGGUUACAGCUAAAACAUUGAAAUUGCUUGGUUUGUAGUUGGGUUUUGAAGAUAUUCAAGGCGUACAGCAAACCAAUAGAAAAUAUAAUUUCAACAAUGCGGCAAACAAGUACAUCACUGGCUAGGAUGUCUGAAAGUAUAAACUUCAAACCCAUGCAGAAGUCUCAGUGGCCAUCCUAGCUGUUAUGUGGGUUAAAGAUCGAUGAUAGAUCCUGUGGAAACAACAGUUGAUAUGCAUUCCCUCUGGCCAGGUGCAUAUUAUGAUGGGUAUUGUCAUCUCUCAGCAGAGACCACAUGUUAUGUAUUCAUGGCAUAACUAGUCUUUCUGGUAAUUCAUAGUGAACUUAAUAACCAUGUUGUCAGCACCAUUUUCUAUAUGAAAUCCCAGAAAUCAGUUAUAUACCUUUCAAUUGUGCAAAAUAUUAUAUCCUGACAUGUAACCCCUUCAUAUUUGUUCAUAACUCCAUAUUAUCUUGCUAGCUACCAUAGCCAGCUGGGUAUCCACAAAUCUCCAGUGGAUGAAUAUGAAGCUCAGUUUCAUUAAAGGGAGAGGUGUACAUCUAACUUGAUGAAGACUAUGAAUUCAUAUUGUAGUCAUUUUAGGCCCAAGCGUAGACUAUAAAAUUUCUAACUGCUUGUUUGUGUACUAUAAGAUUGAUCCUAGGGCCAACCAAUUACUGUAAGCUGGCAGGCUAUUACCUGUAGUCUGUACAGUUAUGAAGUUUUCAAUGCAAGGAAAGGUAGGGAUUGUGUAAUUAUAUACACAAUUAAUAUCAUAUUUGAUUGAAAGAAUGUGGUGGCAGUGAGACCAAACUCAGGCACCCGGCAGGACUGAAGCUUAUAAUGCCUUAAGUACACGACUGAAAAUCAAAGAUAUGUUUCUGAAAAAUGAUAGUAGCACAAGUGAUCAUGCUUACCUGUAUCUUGAUAGGACGUCAAUAAGGACUGCAAAUUUUUUUGAGAAGAAAGGUUCUUUUAUUGUCUCUAGGUCAAAUGAAUCAGCAUCCGCACCUUAAAAACAAAACUGUCAGAUUUUUUAAUGGAUAAUAUGAAAUAAGUAUGCAUUUUCCAAUUAUUUCCAACAAAAUGUAACUCCAAAAGGUCCACUAUAUAAACUAUAUGUAUGACAUAUGCAGAUCAGCUUGUUGAAUAACAUAUCCGAAACACCAGCAAAGUGUACGAGGAGGGGAGUUCACCUUCUAAGAUGUCGCGGCUUAGAAGAGAUGUCGCUUUGUUUACAUAGUAAUUAAUAUCAACCCCCUUUCCAUCUAGACUAACACUACUGGGAGAGAGAAAGGUCCUUGCAGCCUGCAUUACAAUCAAACAAAUAACAUCACAUACGUGUUAAGUUCACACCUACUUUUGACAUUAGGCAAAAAAAAAUGUGGCGGCUGAAAUGGAUGCCACAAGUGGGGAGUAGUGAAUAGUCUGCUAUAAAAGUAGUUCAAUGACAUGUAUGGCAUGGGGCUAAAAAUGUGUGGUAAGCCACAAUUGUGGCAUUAAGCAGAACACAUACGUCACAAACUGUGGCAUGUCAAGGUUUUAUCCCAAAUUAAAUAGGCCAACAUGGAGGGGAUCCAAGAUUUUUUAAUAAAACCAAACCACAAUCCAUCUAUUUGUUGUGUUAAGUUUUGGGGAAAAUAUUUGGGCCUGUCAUCUUUUCAAGGCUCUCCGAGUGCAAUGAAUCUUGUGUUUAUUACUUAUGAAGAAAAAGGCAAUACCAAGCACACCAAGAUAAAUGUAAUUGAAAAAAAGAUCUUGCAAGGAUGUAAGCUAUUUGGGAUCAGUAAGCCUUCGAACAACUUCAUUGAGGAGGUUUGUCACGUGAACAUAAUCACAAAUGUCACUCAAAGAUGCAAAGAAGUACAUUAUAGUCAGUUUAUUAAAACAAUAAGAACAAAAAAUCACGUAUAAAAGAAAACACUGGGUAGCUUGAAAACACAUAUGCAAGCUACUGGCUGUUACAGACUUCCAGUACAACAGUUCUACAUUCCUACCACUGCCAAAAUACAAGUGAGGAACAGUGAAGAAGGAAUUCAACUGAGGCGAGAUUGUAUAAAGAUUUAAAUGCUGGUUGAACAAACUGUGCAAACUCACCUGGAGAGCUCCAAAGAGACCAACUUCUUGCAAACAGAAAAUCAAAUUUUCAUGCAACCUCCAUAAGGACUUUAGUUUCUUUUGUGACUCCUUGAAAUUGCAUGCACUCUCUCUUAACAUGUAUUCAGACUGUUCAAAGCACAUUAAAAGCUGUUCAAGGAUAAAGAAAAAAGAAAAUAACCCAAAACCUCAUGUUAACUGGACCAAAGAUAAAUCCUGUAUAAUUAAAAAAAUCACCUGAGACUUGUAGCCAUCAAGCUCAUUGAUGUAAGUUGUAGUCAAGUUAGAGUGACCAACUGGGUCAUAAAAGUACACUUCAAUCUUAGGAGAAGCAAUCACACUUUCAAGUUCUACAUUAUCAACUGAACAAACCUAGAGUACAAGUUUACAAAGCAAAUUGUCAAAAUCAUCUUAAGCCCAGCAGAUUUAUGGAGAAAAGUAGUUGUAUUUACCUUUGCAUUAAGUAAUUCCUCGAGACUGUUGAUACAUUUAGUGUAGGUAAGCUUGUUAGAACCACCUGUCAUAGAAAGUAUAGGAAUGAUAAUUAGCCAGCCAUGGGGAAGAAAUAUAGUUAAAUUGGAUGAUACAACUUUAGAGGAAGAAUAGCAUAUUGGUAGGCAACACUCUACAUUUCAUCUGUUUGUGUUAGUUUGACCAAUAUUUUGUGUGUCCCUACUCCCUAGAUACCUAUAGAAUUUCAAUCCAAAGAACAAUUCUGCUGCAACAAAAUAAUGGAGUAAUACAACUAUAAGUAUCAUUCAGUCACUGUACUUUGAGCUUUUGGCCCUCACAAUGGUUUGGAAUAAAAGGAUGAGAAACAGGUGUCCAUCUUAUUCCACUCAAAUAACUCUUCUCCUCUCCUAGGAUUGCUCUCUAGUAUGUUUCUAUCCAAUUUUCUCAUACUCCUGGUUUUGUAAUACAGCUGAGCAAAUUACCAUAAAGACCUCAAAAGUAUAAGAGAUCAUCCCUCCCUGCCAUUCCAACUGAUUGAUUGGUAUAUUAUCCUUGCUUUCAUGCAAAACCUUAUGUGUUGUGGAUUGGAAAAGAAUACCUCCACCACCUAGAUUCAAGUUCUCUUCAACUUGAACUUGGAUGCCCAUUUCUUCUUAAUGCAAAUCCCCCUACUUCCUUCUAGAUCGGUCUAAUUUUUCUUUAAAAACAUAAACAAUAUGUUGUACUAUCAUAAAAAGCUAGUAAUCUCAUUCUGUAUACUAAAUGCUGGCCAUUUAACAGAUCACCGAUCAAACAAUGGUACAGAUUGUAUGAAGGCAAGAAUAAUGGACUGCAUAAUUUGAAAGCUAGGCAUAAAGGGAAAGAAAAUAAGAUUCAAGCAUUAACCAAAUGAGAAAAGGGCAAGAAUAUAUUCUGAUUCUGACUCUUAACAUAAUUUGAAAUAUGAGAAAGAUAGAAAUUAAGUUAAUACAGUUGCUAGCACGAUAGGUUAAGACCAUUGACGAGGAAUAAAACAUUUAUGUAAGAACACCAUUACCUUUUCCAAUAAUCGGUGAAGCAGUCAUGCCAAAAACACGAGGAUGUUUAUCAGCGUUAUUAUAGAAUUCCUGAAAUAUUGUUAUAAAUAUUUCAAGACUAAGAAGUCCGCAGUUCAUGUAACUUUUUUUUUGGAACCAGGAAAACAGCAGGGGAAGCCCCCACUGUUAGAUUUUAUUAAAACACAAAAACAAACUCUGAGCAAAACAAAUGGAAAACACUUCAGAUAACCCCGAGCGAGGCUAGAACAAGAAGAAAAACAAAGAGCCACUAAACACAAGAAUCAACCCAGAAGAGAAAAACAGAUUGCUUGUUUUCAGAAAUCUUAUACGCUUGUAGUCAAGCUUCAUUUUUUAGAGAUCUUCUCCAGGAAGAGGAGGUCCGCUCAUAAAAAUGAGGUUAUUGAGUUCAUCUAACUUACUAAAGAGUCUUUAAGAGGUAUUAUUGAGUUGCAUGCACCGACCAAUUCAACCCAAAAGCUUAAGCUGAUGGGGAGAGGUGGGCAAUUCACUUAUAUUCCAACACUCCCCCUCACGUGGAGGCUUCCUCAGGCCUCAGACGUGGAAUAUGAGCGAGCAAAAUUAUUUUAUUUAAUUGCGCUAACCAGGAUUCGAACUCGAGACCUCUGGCUUUGAUACCAUAUUGAGUUGCAUACACCGACCAAUUCAACCCAAAAGCUUAAGCUGAUGGGGAGAGGUGGGCAAUUCACUUAUAUUCCAACAGGUAUAGUACAACUUCUGCAUAUGUUCAAUUAAUAUAAAGCAAUGGAAUUUCAUCAAUUUUUCAUUCCAACUACGUGAUCAAACCCUCAUAACUGCAUAAGAGUAUUUGUCAUGUAUUCAAUUAAACGUUGAGAGAAUAAGGAGAAAACAAGUAGCUCUGGAUCAUCACCAGGUUGUGGCUCAAUGCAACAAUACCAUGCAUCAUGAAGAAUACAGUGACAUGUGUAUAAGAACAGCAAAGGACAUAAAAGAUGAUGCGCCAGAAAUGUGAUAAUAAAUUACAUCUGGUGCAUCUACCAUCCAUAACAAAGUAAACAGCUAUAGCAUACUCUAGCGCAGUUGAUGGGAGGUGUGGCUGGGCACCCUCCACGCCUGGGUUUUCGAGUCCUCUUCGACUCAAAUUCAGGUGCCUAUUUUCUUUUUAUUGACAGUGCCACCUAGUUCCUCCUAGGUUGGUUGACAAAAUGAGAAGUGUAUUGUAAUGAAGAAUUAGCAACUACUCCCUUCGUUCCAAAUUAUAAGUCGCUUUGUCUUCUUUGGUGCAGAGGGAGUACUAUGUUAAGAAACAAAUAUGAAUGCCAGAUACUGAGAAGUAUAUGGUUGUGAAGAUUUAGCAAUUAUUUUUUUUUAAGAAACAAAUAUGAAUGUCAGAUAUAGAUUCGAAUAAAUGUUAAAUACUCGUAUAUGUAUAUUAGAAUAUGGUGAUAAUCUGUAUCUUAGGAUGUCAAUGGAACCAUUGUAGAAUUCUGAGAAUCCUUUGCACAUAUUAAUAUAAUCUCCAGUUAUACCAAAUGUAUUCCGCAUACUGAUUUUAUUAAGAAAGGAUUCAUUAGGAUCAAUUGGUAUUAGGACAGGAUCCAUUAGGAUCAAUUGUUAUUAUUAGGAUAGGAUCCAUUAAGAUCAAUUGUAUAGGAUAACUAUCCAUGUAUUAUACCACCUACCUUGUACCACAGGUUAUUAUAUGCAAGGCACCCCCCCCACACACACACCACCCCACAAUGGACGUGUGGGUGGUGUGAUUCCCAUACCUUUCUACAGUUUUGAAAGUGAAAAUAUAUAGGUAAGUUCAUCAUCAGCAAAAAUAAGUUGUACAAUCUGUUCCAAAGCCUCUAGAAGUCUAUCACCCACCCACACGUUUAGUACCGAAAAUAUCUACAGUGUUAGUUUUUUUUCCUUUUUUUUGGGGCGGGUGGGGGGCAAGUUACUACAUUAAAAUCCUGUCAGCCAUAGCAACACACUUCCUGAAAUGGAGAAUUAAUAUUGCACAGGUACAGGAGGAAGUUCUGUGACCUGAAUAUUAAUUUCCAGAGAUUGCAACAGAUGAUAGUACAGGCACCGAAAUUGUACGCGAGCAGUUACCUUCAUGAUUUGUGCAUAUGGAUGCCUUUUUUGUGCUUGUGCAUGAUGGCAUUCAUCAAAUAUCAAAAGUGCAAUUGAGUCCAUCUUGAUGAAACAAUGACGCAAAUUGUGCAAUAAUAUUUGAGGGGUCAUUACAAGGACCUGAAGCGGCAAAGAAAGCAGCACAAGUUAGGAAGAAAAAAUUAUGCAUAAGAAACAAUGAUGUUACAGAUAGAUUAUGUUUUCCCAAAGUUGUGUGUGAAUGUUGAUAUAAAUAGGUUAUGUUUGCCAAAGUUGUGUGCUGAUACAACUGCUGACUUUUCAUUUUACUCAAGAGUCAGAACACUGGUUCAAAAACGAUCAUAGGCUAAACACAUCUCUGUCUGAAUUUUUUCUCCACAACAUGUCAAGUACUAUGCUUUAUUAAUUUAUGCUAGCUACUAAAAAAUCUUCAAAACAGGACUAUCAGUAAUCACUUGGCAGCUGCCAGCAAAAAGAACAUAGAGCACACCAUACCUCGUAUUCUCCUAUCUCUUUCUCCCAUGCCUGGUGAUCUCUAGAGUUUUUACCACUUCCAUAGUAACGUUGAACCUUAAAAUUAGUGGAAUCGGCAAUCACCAUUGCUUGCUACAAAAUACAAAUACAGAAAAAGAGCACUGACUAAGCAUGUAAAGGUGCACCUGGUAGCAAAAGAUGUGGUCACAAACACCCAUAAGAAAAUGAGGGUGUACUCAUAAAAAAAAAUUGAUAGCAUGACUUCAUCCCCUCCAAAAAAGAAUAUAGAUAUAGUGAAGAGCAGGGAGCUAUUCUACCUGACGGACAAGGGGUAUGGUCGGUGCGAGGAAGAUGCAGACCUCGCGGCUGGGUUUGCGGAUGAGGUGUCCAAGCUCGUACAUGAGUAACACGGCAAUGUGUGUCUUCCCACAUCCCGUUCCAAGGUACACUACGAUGUUCUCCUCAACUGCCCUCUUGCAAAGGUCCAGCUGAUAUCUAAAUACCAAAAGCUAGCAAACCAUUAGUGUCUUUUCCAUACUCCCGGUAUUAUUUGAAGGAAACAGAGGAAAUCCUUGAUUAACAAAAAUUUGUCUGACAAUAUUUUAGGGGGGGGGGGGGGGGGGGACUUAGGGUCUCCCGCUGCUACAUGCAACAUUCAAUCAAAAAGCUGGCCACCAUUUGCCACAAAGUAGUACUCCUACAGUAAUAGUUGGAAUGAUGACAACAAGGCACAAUCACCACGACAUCUCGAAUAGUAGUAGUUAUUUAUGCAUUGACACGUAUCUGGGGUGCUGCAUUGCCAUAAAGUAAUUGCGUGGGCAGGUUGAGGAUCACACAUGCUUUUAAUGUCAAGCAGGCGAUCAACAGGACCGAAUCCUAGAGAUUAAGGGAUAUCACGUUCUCGAUCUUCGUGACAGGGGGCACUAAACAUCCAUAGCUGCAACCUACGGGGCGCGGCAGCAGCGGUAUCCUUGGAAUACCCAUAUUUUCUGUAACAAAAUAAAUUUGUAUUUGGGUAUUACUAAAAUGUCUAGUUCUACGAGUGCUUUUAGUUCGUGCUGUUUUGUUGAAAAUUAUUCUCGGAAUACCCUGGUGGAGAGUCCUGGCUCCGCCGUCCAAAUCGCAACUUAUGCGAAACUCAAACUCUCUCACGAAACGCUUCUAUCAAACAAUAUAAAAAAAAUGUGGAAAACCGAAAACAGCAGUAUCGGGCGUGAAAAGUAAGUUCAAUGACAGGAAGAACAAAAAAAACAAUCGCGUCUCAAAACCUGUCUAAAACCUUCACGAACUCCCGACAGAUGAGCAAUACACAAAACGAAUCGAUGGUCUCGCACGAGAUGAACAAACUAAAAAAUCCACCGCUCCCAUAGAAACUGCGCAGACAAAUAUGCCGGCCUGCCCUCCGCCGGAAAAUCUAAAAAACAGAUCAGAAGAAGAGUAGGAAGGGGCGCUUACUUGCGCGCGAUCCUUCUCGGAUCCUUGGGUUCGCCCGCGGCCGCGCCGGAGCUCGAGCUCCCAGCCUCGUCCUCGCCCUCGCCCAUGGCGGAAGCUUCGAGCGGAAGUAUAAGGAUGCGGGGGGAAAGGAACAGAACAGAACAGAGCAGAACAGAAGCGGAGGUGCGUGUGUGUGAAACUGCCGUGCGCGUCCCCCGAGUUAUUAUAAAUGAGGUAAGCAUAUAGGUGGGAGCUGGUCUUGUCGCGUCAAAUGGGAAGGGAAGGCGCUCGGCGGAGCACGAGAAGAGAAGGGCAGGGUAAUGGGCCCCGCUGAUGGCCUGGGGUGCGGGUCCACAGUGUGUACUCGUCUACAGUCGUCGGGUUUGCGUCUGCGGGCUGCGGAUGGCUGUGCGUCAGUGCGUGCAAUUGACGCGGUAGGCGAGAGGGAAUGAGAUUCUGCAGUCAUCCAAACCGACUGCAUCCUACAGUCAAGUCAUCUGCACCGUUCCGUGCUGAUCCAACGAUUGCUCUGCCAAAGUGACACAUAGGCCGCAUAAAUUCAAGGUCCACCAUAGCCCAGGUCCUAUCGAGAGGUCUCCAUGGUGAAAUCGCAGCUGCUGUCUUCCGCCUUGCUGCCUUACUGGCCAGCAUUGUGAGCGACUACCGCGUCACCAUCUCCAUCCCCUCAUCAAGAGCCGCGCCGUCUUCGUCCCCGCGCCGAUGCCGUCCUCGUCGUCGAGGGUCGCACCGUCGGCGUCCUCGUCGUCAAGGGCCACACGCCGUUGCUGUCCUGGUUGCUGCUGGCGUGCAGCGUUCCCACCUUGUCUCCCUGACUCCCUCCUUCACGGGGCUCCUGGCUGCCAUGGGCCAGUCGUGGCGCCUCCGCGGCUCGCUCCUGCACACAGGUGGCGACGAAAACAGCGGCUCCUCCGCCGGGUGCAGGUAGCUGUACGCGAACAACCGCCAUACAUGUCCAUCGCGCUAGACCGCCCUGUGCACGCCGUGUCCUUACAACCUAAGCCGCGUGUCCGACCUCAUCUCCCUGAUUGGCGCGAUUGUGCGCAUGGCCUGGGACGACGCCGCCAUGGCGCGUCUCCUGGGCCACGGCGACAUCGUUGUGGUCUGCCCCAAGCGCAACACUUCAUCUCGCUUUUUGCCGAGCUUAGCAGCACUGGCGGCCAAGAUCGAGAUGUUCUAUGGCACGGUGGCUCGGCAACCAGGAAGACAAGGACAGAGGCGAAGGAAGUUGCCAUGACGAGCUAGCUAGCGUGGUGGCUUGGGCUGAGAUGGGCCAAAGCCCAACGUAUGGAAGUUUGUUGGGAGCUGUUCGCCGUUCGAUCUUUAUGAAGGGUCCGAUGUCCCUGACUGUAGGGUGCAGUCGGUUUGGGUGACUGCAGAGGAUCUCAUUCCAGGCGGGAGGGGCCGAAGGGGUUGCCGCUGACGCGAACGGCGAUCUAGGCCUUGUUUAGUUCUAAAAAAUUUUGCAAAAUUUUUCACAUUCUCCGUCACAUCAAAUCUUGAGAUGCAUGCAUGAAGUAGUAAAUAUAGACGAAAAUAAAAACUAAUUGCACAGUUUGGUCGGAAUCGACGAGACGAAUCUUUUGAGUCUAGUUAGUCCAUAAUUGUAUAAUAUUUGUCAAAUACAAACGAAAGUGGUACUAUUCCUAUUUUGCAAAAUUUUUUGGAACUAAACAAGGCCCUAGCCCACGGGCCGAGCCGAGGUAUAAGGCCUUGUUUAGAUACACCCAAAAACCAAAAACUUUACAAGAUUUCUCAUCACAUCGAAUCUUGCGGCACAUGCAUGGAACAUUAAAUAUAGACAAAAAAAACUAAUUGUACAGUUUACCUGUCAAUCACGAGACGAAUUUUUUAAGCCUAGUUGCUCCAUAAUUAAAUAAUGUUUGUCAAAUAAAAACGAAAGUGCUACAGUGUAAAAAUCCAAAAAAAAUUUAGAUCUAAACAAGGCCUAACUUACUGCCUUUCGGCGUGGCGUGACAGCCUGUCGGACGACUCGGGACCGUGCCACGUGGUUGAGACUAUCUCAUAAAAAACUAAGUAUUCAAAAUUUGUUCUAAAAUUCAUAUCUUGUUCUUUCAGCGUGUAAGACCCUUUUUCAAAAGCGGAAAUUUCAAAAAAAUAGUGUAAAAAAUUACAGAAAUUAUGUAGGAAUUUCAUAGACAUUAACUUAUUUUUAUAGAAAAAACACGAAAAAUAGGAAAUUUCAUUCGUUCCAAAGGAGGACUAAACAUUUGAUACUUCAUCCUCGUCAUAAUUCGACCCAAACUAAUUAGACUCAAAGAUGGCAUCUAAUAUGUUUCGUUAAUUUUGUGAGCCCAUGUAUAAUAUAAUUAUUACAGAAAAGCUAUACGUUGCGUGUGUGAUUUUUUGGUUCUGCUCACUCGAAUUUCCUGGCCGUUAGAUGUUGAUCUAUGCUCAUCUCUGCCCUCCCUCAUUCAUUCCAAGUCUCCUUCACGUGGCUCUUGUUGUGCCCCACUUGUCAGCCCAUCUUUUGGGGAAACACGCCCUUUUGUACUGUUUUGAACGUGUCCUUUCAUUUCCCCGUGCCUUUUCGUCUCGCCGUCGUCGCCGGCAGUGGUUGAGGCGAUUUUGAGGCGGAGCUGCGUCGUAUCGCGCGAUUUGCCGUUGCUGGUGAGAUUUUGAUCCCUUUCUGGUUCGAUUGUUGUAGAUCCUUCAGUUCUCAAGUUGAUUUUUUAUUUAUUUUCUUCUUAUUUCUCUAUUUUGUCUAGUUUUGGUCGGUGGCCGAGGCGUACCCGAGGCAGAGCGGCUUCCUCGUCGACGAUUCGUCGUCGUUGGUGAGUUAUUCCUCCAUUUCUCGUUCCAUUGUUGUGGAUCCAUUGGUCCUCUUUGUGUUGGCGCGGUGAUCUGAUUACAUGUUGUUGUUCCCCUCCUUUUUUUAGAUCUUCUCAUUCUAUUUACUUAUUAUUGGAUUCUGUUUGUUUCGAUUUGCGUCUAGCGAGGCACAUUUCGAGGUAGAAUUCAAGUUUUUUUUGCAGUUGAUGCUGUAAUCCUGAACUAGAGGUCUUUGAUCUAUUUUACAGUUACUUGGACUUAUUCUGUUCUCCUGUCCAAGUUUGUAAUAUGAUGACUAUAAAUAGAUAUGGAUCUAAUUUGUUAGUUUAGUUCUUGAUGAUUUUAGUUCCUUUUGUUUACGGUUUUUUAUGUAAUUUUGAAUUCAGAGGUAUACCAAUUGGUGUGUGUAAUAAAUUCCAUUCUGGAUUUGUGUUGUGAUUAGGCCUGGUUAGUGUCUGUGCUUAAGUCGUUAGACUAUCUGUUUGUGACUUGCAAGUUUCAAUUGAUGUAGCACCAACUUGUUGUAGUAGGUUUUGGUUAUUGAACUGUUAGCAUAUGUUAGUGCGACCAUGUGCACAUGUUGUGCCUCCUCUGAACAUUAUUCAACUUAUGUACUUUUCUUUGUUAUGGUGUUGUUUACGUUCACUUACAAUUCUUGGUCAUGUGUAAUUUAUAUCUAUUGUGUAUGUAAGUAGUACGUAAUGUUAGUUUUUUUUGUUUGUUUUAUUAUUGCAUUUUAAAUUCAUACAAGCUGAAGUCAUGAUUUAUCUUGUAUCUGAUUUAGUGUUUUCUUUAUGUAUUUUUUGAUCAGUUUAUGUGUAUUUAUUUGUAGUUGGUUCUUGGUAGUACUAGUAGUUAAAUGUUUAUGUAUCUUUCUGUAAUUUUGGUCAUAGUGCAUUUUUUUAGCUUAUCCUAUUAUUCAUUAUUUUGUAGUGUUUGUUAGUUUUAUCCUUUCUUUCUGUGUUCUUAUAUUAUAAGUUCGAUUAGAUGGCUAGGAAAAGGAAUGUUCCUGUUGUUGACCUUUCAAGUAGUGAUUGUUCUGAUGGUCAUGAGGAUGAUGAAUUGUCAUUGCCUCUUGAUUCUUCUGAUCCUGAUCAAAAUGAUGACUCCAAUUAUGAUGAUCUUGUUGAUUCAGAUGUAAGUAUUUUUUUCUAUCUUGUUUAUUUGUUUCAUUUGUUCUAGUUCCCUGAUAAUUAUUUUUGUAGGAUUCUUUUUCUCUUAGUCAUCAUUCUAUCAAUCAAGCUUUGUACAAGGAGUACAUGAAAGAAGUAUGCUUUUUUUGUUUUGAUUGUUAUUUAUUUUAUGAUUAUCCUUUUUGCUUCCUCUUAUGCUAUCUGUUAUUCUGAUUAUUGUUCUAUCUUUUUUCAGUGUUCUAAGCUAAAUUCUUUGAAGAAGAAGCUUUUUAUGUCUUUUACUCAUAAUGUAAGUAUUGUUGGUUACUUUCUUUUUCUUUUUUUAAAUGUUUGUAUCAUGUUUUUUGUUGUAUUUUUUAUGUUUACUUUCUUAGGGGAAAAAGAAGAAGUCUGAUGGUGGACCUAAAGUUGGUUUCUCAAGAUUUUCUGUCACAAUGUUCUCUAAUGUGAUCAAAUCUCUUUCUGAAGAUCGUAAAGAUGUGAUUCGAAAGUAUGGAUUUGGUUCCCUUCUAUUGUUUGAUAGUUGUUCUGUGCCUAGAAAUUUUGUUCAUUGGGUUGCUCGCCUAGUGAACUAUAACUCUGGUGAUAUAGUUGUUGAUGGCAAGGUUAUUUCUCUCACUAAGGAGGCUGUUCACUUGGUACUUGACCUUCCAUUUGGUGGAUCUCCUUUUCCUCCCUGCUGGCAAGCUUUCUUUGCUAUCCAGAUUUGGGAAGGAUAAUGUUCCUCCAAUCAGCUUCUUUUCUGAGGCUCUUGUUUCUAAAAAAGAAAUGUCUGAUGAUGAUAUGUUUGUGUGCUUCAUUGUCGUUGCGAUGAGUACUUUCCUUUGUCCAAAUUCUUCUGUGGUCUCUUGUCACAAAUUUUUUGGCAUCUUUGAAGACCUUGAUAAAAUUCGAUCAUAUGACUGGUGUGGAUAUAUCCUAUCUUGGUUGAUUGAGUAUAUCAAGUUGUUCAAUCAGUUUAAGAGUUGCAGAUCUACUCAACAAACUACUCUUGGAGGUUGUCUGUACUUCCUUGUUGUAAGUUUUCGUGUCCUCAUUGUUCUUUCUGUUUUUUUCUAAUUAUACUCAUGUAUGGUUUAGUUCACUAUUUCUACUAUUGUUAGGUUCUAUACCUUGAUCAUGUUGAUUUUGGAUCUCAUCAAGUUGCUUCCACUAUUCCUCGUAUAUCUGUUUGGAAAAAAAGAUAUGAUUAGGCAGUAUGCAUGUCUUGACAAGACACAAGGUGGUUGUUUUGGCUACCAUCCUAUUAUGGAUUAUUCAAGGACUUGUUAUGCUAAGGUAUUUUUUUAUUUUGUGCUACGAUAUAUAUAUGUGAAUGGUUUCUUAUGUCAAAAUGCUAGUUGCAUCUUAUUUAUUUUUUUGUUAGUUGCAUUUUAGUCAAAUCUCGUCUCUUUUCAAAUUAUAGAAUAUGUUCUUUGGUUUAUAUGGUUAUUAUAUGUUAUUUAUUCUUUACUUGUAUAGAUGUUAUUAUGAUUAUUAAGGUGUAAGUACUAGUUUCCAUUACUAUAAGUAAACUUUAUAUCCCUGUUUUGUAUAAUGUUUUUUAUCCUUUGAAUGUUCUAUUUUCAUAUGCAUGUUUUGUAUCUUUAUCAAAUCAAUUAUCUGUAAUUUGCCGUUUAUUUUAUCUAUAGGAUAUGAGGUUGCUCCCUCAAAUCCUCCGUCAGUCUAUUGAUGAUGAAAUUUUUACCAAGCUUGAUUCUUAUGCUCGUUGCAAGCUCCCUUUAGAAUUGAAGGAUGCUAUUCGCAAGCUUAUUGAGAAGCACUGUUUGAAUUGUGGUCUUUCUGUCAACUUUGAUGUUAAUUCGAUUACUGCUUUAUCUGAUGAAAUGAGAUUGACUUUUAUCAAGCUUUGGAAGCAUGUGUACUCUGUUAGUGAGAUGUCUCAGGUUUUAGUUCUAGAAGUUAUUAGGCUGUUAUCUGAAUCUGUUGAAAAAGAUGAGCACUUUGGUUCUCCCAUUGGUGGUGUUGAUUCUUCUCCUAUUGUCCCUGAUCCUAGAACAACUCCUGUUAAUGCUAAUGGUAGGUUAUUUCCUUUCUUUCAAUCUUUUUUGCAUUGCUAUUUUUUUAUUUCAUGUAGGUUGUCCUGACACAGGAAAUGAUGAUCCAGAUGUUCAAGUUCUUCAUGCUUCUCAAUAUAAACUUCACCAAAUUCUGAAAGAUGUAUGUGUUUUGUAGCUACUUUUUUUACUCAUGUAGGUUAUUUUUUAAUUUUAUUCUCAUCCUUUUUUGCAACGUUCUACUGGUAAUGGUGUUGAUGGUGUUGAUGUUGGUCCGAGCUCUCCUAAACUUGUUUCUACUUCUCGUAAUCCUCUUGCUGAUAUUUCUAAUUCAAAGUCUUUGAGGAAAGGUUGUCUGAAGAAAUCAGUAUCUAUUGGUCUUGGCAAUGCUAUUGAUCUUGAGAAGAUGUAUGCUCCAAAUUCUAUAUCCCCUUCUCCUAUGCCUGGUUAUUCAAGAUAUUUUUCUCAAAAGGUUAGAUCUUUUUCUUUUUUUGGAUGUUUCAUUUUCAUACUUUCUUUUUAUUCUCUUUUUUUCUUAUUACGAUUUUUUGCUUAUUUUUUUUAGGUUGCUGGUUCAGUGAAGAAGGGUGGUCUACCAAAUUCUAGUGUAAGUUUUUUAAUUUUUACUUUUUUAUAAAAAUAUUGUGUUCUAUUCAAAGUGUACUAAUUUUGUUUUGUUUUUUAGGAUCAUUUGGUUAUGCAGACCCUAGAUUUCACUUAGUGCUCUCCUUCCCCUCAUCUAGCUAAACGUACUGAUAAUACUCGUUGUUCUGGUGGUUCUUUGCAUUCUGCAUCCAAGACUUCUGUGAAGGUAUUGUUGUUUUUAUUUGUUUUUUACAUUUUUUUACUUUUCGUAGUCAGUGUUGUAUUUACCUUUUGUUUCUUUUUUUUCUUUUACAGGUUUCUCCAGAAGUUAGAAUUGUUGGUGCCAAAUCUUUCUCGACAUGUGUUGGAGAAGUUACUAAGAAAACUAAUGAUAUCUACAAUUCCAAAUUGGAUUUGGGUGGGUCUAGUAGUACUCCUAGUCAACCUUUGACUCGUUCAACUCAUCUGUCUUUGCCUAGUUAUGCUCGGUUGAGCCAUUCAUUUGCUCCGAAGUCUCAAGUUGUAUCUACAGGUGGAAAGGUUCCUUUACAUGGUCCUAGGAGGCUUUUGAAUCCUGGCCCUCUAUUUCGUGGUGACUAUGAGACAUUCAAGUCUAAGUUUUAUCAAGUUAGUAAGUCUGAAGUAGAGAACUAUAAGAUUCUUUGUAAGUUGGCUUCAUCUGAGUUUCAAAGGUUAGUUGUAUCUUCAUUUUUUCUAAUUUUUGUUUGUUUUGGAUGUCUUAUAUUCUUGUUAAAAAAUUUUGUGUUUCAAUCGUGGCAGUCUCUUUGUCUGGUGUUCGCUGUACCUUUUGGUCUCUUGGUGAAUCUUUAAAACCUGGUGGUUUUGUCAAUACUUUUGUUGUAUCUUGUUUCUGCUACAGCUUGUUUUCAAAGCCCAAUGGUCAUCCAGAUUUCUCUAAAAGGCAUUAUUUCUUCUCAAACAUUGGUGUAAGUUUUCUUCUAUUUUUAUGUAUAAAAUUAGAUGAUGUUUCAUUUUUUUAAUUAUUGGUUUUUAUUUUUGAAAUUUUAUUAGGAUAAUAUGCUAUUGGAUUAUGAUAAAGCUGACCAGGAGUUAUUGCAGCGGUCUUUUAGAAGGUCUGCCAAGGCUAGACCAUUACAUCAAUCUAAUAUGGUAAUACUAUUUUUGUGAUUUUCUAUGCCCCCUAUUUAUAUCUCUAUUAUGUCAAUUUGAUUCUGUUUAUAUUUUUUCUAGCUUUUCUUCCCUAUAUUGCAUGAGAAGCAUUGGUUUGUUUUUAUGGUUGACAUUAAGGAUCGCCAUUUUGUAUUUCUUGAUUCACUGUAUAGUCGCAAUUCUGAGUUCCAUCAAGAUAUUGACGCAAGGCUUGUAUGUUCUUUCCUUUUUCCCCUUUUAGUUUGCUUUUGAUUAUUAUUGUAGUGUUUUAAUAUUUUUUAUGCGUGAGUGCAGAUAAACUCUUUUCAGUAUCAUUGGAAUAAAUUUGUUCAAGUUGAGAUGGAUUUCAAUUUUUAUGGUCUUGAAUACCCUCUUGUUCCUGAGCAGCCUUUUGAUAAUUCGUAAGUAUAUGUCUUGCUCAUUUUUAUGAUUUAGUGCUUAUUAUAUGUAGUUUUCAUUCUUGUUUUUUGGUGUGCAGCUCUGAUUCUGGAAUUUAUGCUAUGAUGUUCCUUGAGUACUGGACGUCUCCUAGGGUUCUUCUAGGGAAUAUGUUUAGUCAAGAAGACAUUCCAUCCAUCAGAGUUAAGAUUGCAAAUGAGCUAUUUUUCCAUCACAAGAACACUGGGAUGAAACAUCGUGUGUUAGAUUUCAAACUUCAGGUAUCUAUUCAAAAUUUUCAAUUUUAAAAUCUUGUUCUUUCUAUGUUUAUAUUUCAGUUCAAAACUAACCCCCUCUCCCUGCCUCUUCUUUAUUGAUAGGAGUAGAUUGUUCUGGUGUUUGAUGAUGGAGUCUUCAGUUUGAAUGGAUCCCUUUUUUUCAUCGUCUUUGUAAUUUUUUGGCAGUUGCAUCUGCCUUACAAAAUCUCUUUACAUACUGAGUUGUACUGAAAGCUUUUUUGUCCAUGUCAAAAUAUUGCAUAUGUUUACAUAAUAAUAGAGGUUACAUGAUAAUGGCUCUUUUGUAAUAUAAAUGUAUCCUAUUCUAUGUCCUCAAAUAUGCUUGUAAUCACUUUUUUUGAUCUUGGUCUUCUUCGUUCUUCUGCAUUGUCUUAUCCUGCCUUCUUCUGCUUCUUCUUGCUCUUUGUUGUUGGGCCUGUAUAUUAUAAAUUAUUUAGUAAUAUGUUUUCUUAAUAUUUCACAAUUUGCUUAUUAAGUUUAGAUAAAAUUCUUGGUUGUGAUAUCUUACUUGAGUUUGUUGCCUUCUUCUUCUUUUUAGCUUCUGCUGCUGCCAUCUUUUCUCUUAUUUCUUCUACUAUUGCUUGCAGUCUUUUAGGUUUCUUUGGUCGCCCCUUUUGCUUUAUCCUUGCAGGAUCUUGUAGUUGUAGACUUUCUUCAGUAAUUAUUGAUGAUGUUGCUUGUACACCAUCAACAUUUUGGUCUUCAUCAUUUAUGGAAUCAUCAUCUUCUUGUAGUGCUUUUGCAAUUAGGUCCAUCUCUUUAUCAAUACUGUCAAAUUCUUCAUCUAGGUAACUCAUCAUUUCUUCACUCUUUGAUCCUUUAGAUGUGAGCACUGCUGCUUUCCUACACAAGACAUUGAAUCUAAGCAGUUCCUUUGUUGCAGGUGUGUCUUCUGCUUGUCUUGUCAUGUUUUUAGAGUCCUUCUUCCUCCAUCUGUCAAAAAAGUAUUUUUCAGGUAUCUCAUCUAUUUCUUCUUCUACUAUGACUUUGAGUAUGUGGCUACAUAGUAUUCCAUCCUUGCUGAAUUGUUCACAAAUGCAAUUGAAUUCCUCUUUUCCUUUGGUUAGAUCUGUUAGCACUACAUAUUUCCUGUUAUUUUGUACCUGUUGAAGUCUGUUUGAUUUGUGCCAUACUUCAAAACAUUUUCCUUCUUCUAUUUCUUUGUAUUUUAGCCUCUCUGUCAUUUUGAGCUGGUACUGAAACUUUAGGAAUAUAUUCCUGUUAUAACGUUCAACUGCUUGUAACUCUAUCUUAUAUCCGGUUUGUAGUUCUUUAGGUCUCUUUUGUUUGCUUUGAUUAUCUUCAGUACUCUCCAUUAUCUUGAUUCUGUCAAUUAUCCUUUGGUACUCUUUCAUGAAGCUGAGUAUGUUGUAUGUAGGUCCAACGUUGUCUUUGAUUCUAGCAUUCGUCUGCUCACUUCUUCCAGUGCUUUGUAGAAAUGGAUAGAAGUUUUCUUUGAAAUAUACUGGUAUGAACUUGUUCCUGGUUUCCCACAUUUUCUUGAAAUACUUAUUCUCUUCUAGCUUGUAAUCUGCAAUCAUCUUCUGCCAUAGGUGUUCAAAUUCUUCUUCUGUCAUUGAGUUGUUCACUAUGUCUUCAAAUGUCUCUACUAAGCCUUUGUUCACUGCAAAGCACUUCCCAUUUUUGUUAUAGCAUUUAGACUUUAUAUGAAACAAACAAUUUCUGUGUAUUGUUUGUGGCAUUAUUGCUUCUAUGGCUACUCUCAUAGCUUGAUCUUGGUCUGUAAUUAUGGUCUUUGGAUGUUUUCCUCCCAUAGAUUCUAGGAAUGUCUCAAAUAGCCAUUUGAAUGUCUGUGUGGUUUCAUCAGAUAUGAAUGCACAUCCAAAUAUAAUUGUAUGACCAUGACCUGAUACCCCAAUUACAGGUGCAAAUGGAAGGUUAUAUCUAUUUGUCAUGUAGGUUGUAUCAAAACUUAGGCAGUCCCCAUACUCUGCAUACCAUUUGAGUGAUAUGCCUUCUCUCCAGUAGAUGUUCUUCACUUUUGAAAGUGCAUUUGCCCCCUACGUGGGUUUUGGUGUAUUGAUGACAUCCAAUUUAGGGACUAAUGCGUUGUAUUUGAGAUUUGCUACAGCUACUAGUCUCAUGAAAGAUGCAAAGGUUCAACUUUAGAUGAAAUGGUAUCCCCCAAUCUUCGUUCGUGAGAAAGGCGUUGGAUUCAAUCUAGAGCUUAUUCGUUUUUAUUUUAACUUGGGGAUAGGUAUGCCGUACAAUCAAGAGGGAUUCAAAUGUUGUUGGUUUGGGGAAGAUAAAGUGCUCAAGUCUUUCAACUAAAUCGUUUUAGAGACACUCUAGCACCUCUCUUGUGCUUAGGAUUAACUUAUGUGACUUCUGGUGUCGGAAGUCCCGACGCGGGUCGGAACUCCCGACGUGCUGCGCGAGAACUGUGAGCGUCGGAAGUCCCGACGUUGAGUUCUGCGCGCGCACGCGUCGGAAGUCCCGACAAGCGUCGGAAGUCCCGACGCCAGGCCUGUCUCGCUCAAGCGCCAGCAGUUCCGGCCAGUGUCAGCAGUGCUGACCCGUCGGAAGUUCCGACGCAUGUCGGAAGUUCCGACACUGACUUCUUGCGCUGACCGCGGCUGCCUGCUCAACAGCUUUUCCCAGUGAGUGUUGGAAGUCCCGACACUAUGUCGGAACUUCCGACAUAGAUCUGAGCUGACUUUUCUCCCAGUAGUAUAAGUAGCUCCCUCUGGUUUUCUAACCGUUACACACUCAUUCUUUGCGACCAACCUUCAGGCAAAACAGCUCCCAAGCUUUCAAGACUCCCCUCCUCUCCUCCUCUUUGCUCCCAACUUCGAUUCAGCUUAGACUUGGAGUGAUUGGAGAGUGGUUAAGUGAGAGCAACGCCUUGAGAAGCUUGAGCACUUGAUCUCUUCGUCAAGCCAGCAGGUUUUGAGUUUAUUACUCUUGGGUUCUUGGAACCCUAGCCGGCUAGGCGUCGUCCAAGAGCUUCCAUCUUGUGGAAGAGCCUUGGAAAGUUUGUAUUACCCUGUUCUUCUUAGUGGAAAGCUCAAGUGAACUUUGUGGUUACUUUGAGGGAGGCAAGGAGGUGAAAGAGACUCCGACCUUAGUGGUCACCUCAACAACGAGGACGUAGGAACUCCUAAGUGGGGUAGCCGAACCUCGGGUUAAAUCCUUGUGUCUCUUGUGGUUGCUUUUCUUAAGUUCUACUCGUAUUACUUGUAUUUGCUUGUGCCUCUACCUCCUUUUAGGGUUUGGUCUCGAUCUACGGUUUGAGGAACUCUUGGUGUCAAGGAAGGCUCUCAACAUCCUCCUCUAACCACUAGAGAGUGGUGUUGUAAGUUGUGGAUCUCACAAAGUUCAUAUAAGCACUUGUAGUUCAUUUCCCGUAGGUGUCGGAACUGCUGACAGUUUGCGUUGGAACUUCUGACAACGUCGAAAGUUCUGACCCAAACUGUCGGGACUUCCGACAGUUGCUGACAAGUGACUUUGAGUUUUGUGUAGAAUUUUUUAGAUACGCCUAUUCACCCCCCUCUAGGCAUUGUUUAGAUCCUUUCAAUUGGUAUCAGAGCAAGGUCUUCUUUUAGCACUUUACCGUGUGAGAAGAAACAAUGUCAGAAACCGAAAAGACACAAAAAUUGGCUAAGGAAAUAGCCAAAGAACUGUUGGCAGCUCAAUCAAAGCUUUUUCAAGAUGAAAUGAAGAAAAUGCAAGAUGAGAUGACAAAGUUAAAAGAAGAGCUGAGCAAGAAAGUUGAAGAUGCAAUAGGUAGUAGAAAAUCUGAUGAGGGACCUAGUGGACACAAAGACAAUGAUAAUGAAAGUGAAGUUGGAGGUAAAGAAGAAGGUCACUCAAAAGGAGUCUACUCCAACAUGAACUUUGAUUAUUCUCAGCUUAUCAAGGCUUCACAUCAUGCCCCAUCUAUCAACCUAGGGAAACCUCCUCACUUUGAUGGAACUAGAUAUCCUGAUUGGGCCUACAAAAUGAAGAUGCACCUCAUUGCUGCAAAUCUUUGGGAAGUGGUAGAUGUUGGUGUAACAUUUCCCACUGAAGAUAGAGAGAUCACUCCGGAGGAAGCUCACAUCUUUCGUCAAAAUGCACAAGCUGUGGCUAUUUUAGUUUCAAGUUUGGCUCCAGAUGAAUUCAACAAAGUGAAUGGAAGAGAAGUUGCCAAGGAUAUUUGGGAAGUGUUGAAAACAACAUUUGAAGGUGACAAGAGUGUGAGAAAGGGUAACAUUGAGUUACUUCAUGGUGAGUUGGAAAGAUUUGUUUUCCUAGAAGGUGAAUCCACUCAAGCUAUGUUUGAUAGGAUGAUGUCUUUGGUCAACCGGAUAAGAUCUAUUGGAAGCACUGAAUGGGAUGAAAACAAGGUUGCAAGAAAGAUCUUAAGAACCUAUAGAGCAAAGAACAACAUGCUAGCGUCAGUGAUUAUGGAAAGGCCCGACUAUGAUUGCAUGACACCUCAAGAAGUUCUAGCCAAGCUCAAGCAUCAUGAGUGCCUUGAUCAAGAUGCCAUCAAUGCACAUAGUCAAAAUCCUAGUGCAAUGGGAUAUAACAAGAAUGUAGCUCUAAAGGUAGAGCAAGGACAUGAACAUCACUAGUCAUGUCAAGAAAAGAAGAAAGUGAAGGAUGACUCAUCAAGUGGUGAAGAAGAUUCUGACCAAGAAGUUGCUUUCAUCAUUAGAAAUCUCAGAAAGUUUAUGAAGAAGAAGGGUCAUCAAAAGAAGAAGAGGUUUUGCUAUGGAUGUGGACAAACCAGUCACUUCAUAGCUGAGUGCCCAAAUAUGAAAGACAAGAACAAGUACAACAAGAAUAAUGACAAGAAGUACAAAGGAAAGAAAAAGGGUGAAGCUCAUCUUGGUGAAGAAUGGAUAUCCAAUGAUAGUGACUCAAGUGAUGAAGAGAAGAAGAAGAAGAAAGGAGCUGCAAACAUUGCCAUUCACAAAUCCUCAUCAUCAGUCAUGAACCUCCCAAAGGCUUCACCACCAAAGCUCUUCCCCAACUUGGAUUCUACACCAAGCCUCUUCGCCAACCUCAACGACGAUGACUACUACACUCCAACUUGCCUUAUGGCUAAGGGGGAGAAGGUAACUACCUCAUCCGAAACCUCUAGUGAUGAAUAUGAUAGUCAUGAUGAAAACAUAGAACAACUUGAGGCAUCCUUGAUAAAGAAAUUUGGUCAUAAGGCCUUCACUAAAAUAAAAAGUCUAAUGAAGAAAUUAGAGAAGAGGGAUAGAUGCUUAGAGAUGCAGGGUGAUAUAAUUGUGCAAGAAAAGGAAAAGAACCUAGCACUUGAAGCAUCUAUCGCCGAGGAAAAGACGAAGGUUGAAAAGUUGACCGUUGAAUUGUCUUUAGCCAAUGACUCAAUUGGGAAAUUGACUAAGGAACAUUCCUCGUUUGAUGAUCAAGUAACUAGCCUUAAAAAUGAGAAUAGUAUAGCUCAAGAAAGCCUCACAAGCUUUAAGGAAAAAUACCGAAUUCUUGAGUUAAACUAUAACACUCUUUGGGCUAACACUUCGACUUCUCCUAAGGCAACCAAAGACUCUAAUGUCUCCACUAGCAACGGUUGUAAAAGAUGCUACAAAGUUGAUGUAAAUGCUUAUGCCACUAACCUUGUUGAGCUAGAGAAAAAGGACAAGGAAAUCAAUAGGUUAAAGAUGGAAAUUAAGAAGGGGUGUAAAUGCCAAGAGCAAUCUAAAAAGACUAUAUACAAGGCAUUUAGGCACCCAUCCAUCAAGGAAGGACUUGGCUUUAAUAGGUAUGAUGGAAAGGCCAAUGGAAGAAACAUUGUGAACGGAGUACCUUGUGUAAAGUUCAACAAAGGUGUUGCCCUUGAUGAGCUUAUCUGCAAGGCAAACAACAAGGUUUAUCUUCCGUUAAUUCAACCUACAAGCAACAAGGAAAGCAAGAUAAAGCCAUCCGAAGCUCCCAAGCCACAAGCACCACUUCCACGGUGCUAUGCUAGUGACUAUAUGUGUUGUUGGGGCAAAGAUGGCAAGAUCGUGGUAAAGUAUGUUGGUGCCCACAAGAGGAAGGAAAUAUUGAGGAGUGUUUGGGUGCCAAAACUUUAUGUGACUAACCCGCUAGGACCCAAAUCUAUUUGGGUACCUAAAACACAAGUUUGAUUUGUCUUUGUAGGAAUACUCCUCCGGUGGAACAAGUUGGGUGUUGGAUAGUGGAUGCACUAAUCAUAUGACCGGAGAGAAGGAUAUGUUCACAUCAUUCCAACCUAGUGGUGAACAAAGUGGAAACAUUGUAUUUGGUGACAAUGGAAAAGGAGAGGUACUUGGUUUGGGUAAAAUUGCUAUCUCAAAUGAUAACUCCAUUUCAAAUGUCUUACUUGUAAAUUCGUUGAGUUACAAUUUGUUGUCCGUCUCGCAACUUUGUGAAAUGGGUUACAAUUGUCUCUUUACGGAUAAGGGUGUGGAAGUCUAUAGAAGGGAGGAUUCCUCUAUUGCAUUUACGGGUCACCUAAAAGGGAAACUCUAUCUAGUUGACUUCACAUCAAAUAGAGUAAAGCCCGAGACUUGUUUAAUGGCAAAAUCUAGCAUGGGGUGGUUAUGGCAUCGCCGACUUGCCCAUGUUGGGAUGAGGAACUUGGCCAAACUUCAAAAAGGCGAACACAUCCUUGGACUAACAAAUGUUUCUUUUGAGAAAAACAGGAUUUGUAGUGCAUGCCAAGCGGGAAAGCAAGUAGGAGCUAAGCAUCCCGCAAAGAACAUCGUGACAACCGAAAGGCCCUUGGAGCUGCUACACAUGGACAUAUUUGGACCCGUGGCUUACAUAAGCAUUGGUGGUAACAAAUAUGGUUUUGUGAUUGUUGAUGAUUAUUCACGUUACACUUGGGUUUUCUUUUUGCGUGAUAAAAGUGAGGUCCAAGGCAUUUUCAAGAAGUUUGCAAGAAGAGCUCAAAAUGAGUUUGAUGUCAAGAUCAAGAAAGUUAGAAGUGACAAUGGGACGGAGUUCAAGAAUACCAACAUCGAAGAGUACCUUGAUGAAGAAGGAAUCAAGCAUGAGUUUUCGGUUCCGUACACUCCUCAACAAAAUGGUGUUGUGGAGAGAAAGAACCGGACACUCAUAGAAGCUGCAAGAGCAAUGUUGGAUGAAUACAAGACUCCGGUGAACUUUUGGGCGGAAGCGGUUCCCACGGCGUGUCAUGCUAUCAACCGCUUGUAUCUUCACAAGAAAAGAGAAAAGACCGCCUAUGAACUUCUAACUGGUAAAAAACCCAAGGUGCACUACUUUAGAGUUUUUGGAUCCAAGUGUUUUAUACUUAACAAAAAGUCCAAAAGCUCAAAGUUUGCACCUAAGGUUGAUGAAGGUUUAAUGCUUGGUUAUGGUACUAACGAACAUGGAUAUCGUGUUUUCAAUAAAACCUCCGGUUUGAUUGAAAUCGCGGUAGACGUGACCUUUGAUGAAACCGACGGUUCUCAAAAGGAGCAAGUCAAUGUUGAGAUUGUAGGUAAUGAAGCAGCUGCACAAGAAGCUAUCAAGAAGCUAGCAAUUGGUGAAAUAAAGCCCAUUGAAGAUGAUGAUGAAGAAAGUGCAGUGCAUGUUGAUCAUGAUUCCACCAUUCAUCAUGGCUCAUCAAAUGAGCAUGGUGAGGCUUCCGCUUCAAGAAUCAAUGAAGAUUGUGGCAACGACGUGCAAGCCCAACCUCAUCUUAAUGUUGACCACACAAGUGAAGACAAUCCUCCACAAGAUCAUAGUCUUGGUAUUCCAAUAGAUCAUGGCUAUGAUGAAGAAAAUGAUGGCCCCAUUCAAAGAUCAACUCAAGUGCCACAUCCUAGAGUACAUCAAUCAAUUCAGCGGGAUCAUCCCGUUGAUAACAUUUUGGGAAGCAUUCGACGAGGGGUAACGACACGUUCUCGUUUAGCAAGUUUUUGUGAAUAUUACUCGUUUGUUUCUCCUUUGGAACCUCGUAGGGUGGAAGAAGCACUUGAUGAUGAAGAUUGGAUGAUGGCCAUGCAAGAAGAGUUGAACAACUUUACACGGAAUGAAGUCUGGUCCUUGGUGGAAAGGCCCAACCAAAAUGUGAUUGGAACCAAAUGGGUCUUCCGCAACAAGCAAGAUGAGCAUGGCGUGGUGACAAGGAACAAGGCAAGAUUGGUGGCUCAAGGUUUUACUCAAAUAGAAGGCUUGGAUUUUGGGGAGACCUACGCAUCGGUGGCAAGGCUAGAAUCCAUUCGUAUUCUACUAGCCUAUGCUACCCAUCAUGAUUUCAAGCUAUAUCAAAUGGACGUGAAGAGUGCGUUUCUCAAUGGCCCCCUAUCCGAGUUGGUGUAUGUUGAGCAACCACCGGGCUUUGAAGAUCCCAAGUUUCCAAACCACGUCUACAAGCUCGACAAAGCACUCUAUGGGCUUAAACAAGCCCCUAGAGCUUGGUAUGAUUGCUUAAAGGACUUCCUACUCAAACAAGGGUUUGAGAUAGGAAAGGCCGAUGCUACCUUGUUUACUCGCAAAGUCAAUAAUGAUAUUUUUGUGUGCCAAAUAUAUGUCGAUGACAUAAUAUUUGGUAGUACUAAUGAAGAUUUUUGUGAGGAAUUUAGUAGGAUUAUGACGAACAGGUUUGAGAUGUCUAUGAUGGGUGAGUUGAAGUUCUUUCUUGGAUUUCAAAUCAAGCAACUCAAAGAUGGCACGUUCAUAAGUCAAACAAAGUACACCUACGAUAUGCUAAAGAAGUUCGACAUGGACAAAGCCAAACCCAUCAAAACACCGAUGCCAACAAGUGGGCAUCUUGACCUUGAUCAAGGAGGAAAGGACGUCGAUCAAAAGGUAUAUCGCUCCAUGAUUGGAUCCCUCCUCUACCUUUGUGCAUCUAGGCCCGAUAUUAUGCUUAGUGUGUGCAUGUGUGCAAGAUUUCAAGCUAGUCCGAAAGAAUGUCAUUUAAUGGCUGUUAAGAGAAUCUUUCGAUAUUUAGUGCACACUCCUAAUCUUGGCUUGUGGUAUCCCAAGGGCUCCACUUUCGAGUUACUUGGCUACUCCGAUUCGGAUUAUGCCGGUUGCAAAGUAAGUCGAAAGAGUACCACCGGGACUUGCCAAUUUAUUGGUAGGUCUUUGGUAUCUUGGAGCUCUAAGAAGCAGAACUCCGUUGCUUUGUCCACCGCUGAGGCCGAGUAUGUGGCGGUCGGUGCAUGCUGUGCCCAACUACUUUGGAUGAAGCAAACCCUCAAAGACUUCGGUUGUGAGCUAACCAAGAUUCCCCUUUUGUGUGACAACGAGAGUGCCAUUAAGUUGGCAAACAACCCUGUAAACCACUCUCGAACAAAGCACAUAGACAUCCGGCAUCACUUUUUGAGAGACCACGAAGCCAAAGGAGAUAUCGCACUUCAACAUGUGAGCACCGAUAAACAACUAGCCGAUAUCUUCACAAAGCCCCUAGAUGAGUCAAGAUUUUGUGCUUUGAGGAGUGAGCUAAAUAUCAUUGAUUCUCGUAACCUAACUUGAUGUCUUGCACAUAAUUUGAUUGAUCUAGGUAGGAGAAAACUGUUUGCAAAGUUUGUUUGGUGACUUUAAAAAUCUAAUUUGAUAUAGGUUUCAUGGAUGAUUAUAGUUAUGUAAUGCUUGUUUGUCAGCUAGUCAUCCUUGAAAUCUUUUGUUUCCAUCAUAUUUAUACCCCACUUUGCAGAGAAAGUUCAAAUUCUGAAGUUUUUGGGUCUUCCUGUGUCGGAAGUCCCGACGCUUGUCGGGAGUUCCGACGUGGUUGCGGGCUAAGCCCCCAGCCGGGAGUUCUGGCUAGCGUCGGGAGUCUCGGCCAGCGUCGGAAGUUCCGACGUGCGCCGGAAGUCCCGACGCAGAUCUCGCGCGCGGACCCGUCCCUGGCUUGACUUCUCUUUAUCCCUUGACUGGCCAGUUACCGCAGUCACUUCUUUCCCCCCCCCUCCCCGCAGUCCGUUUCUCUCCCUCCCCCCCGCGCCUCCUUCCUCCCUGCUCCGAUCCAGAUCUACCGUUUGCGCGCGUCUCGCCGACCGCCGACCUGCUUGGUCCCCUCCUCGCCGGCGCCCCGUCGUGUUGCGCCCUCGUGUCGCGCCCCCGUGCCCCCGGCGUGUGCGGUCUCCUGCCCGUGCGCGGUGUGCGCCCCAGUGCGCGGCCCGCACGGCUCGGUGUUCGUCGCGUAUCCUUCUCCUUCCCCUAAGCAAUGACUCGUGGAAGCCCCUCUCGCCAUGUUGAGAAGCGGUCCAAGACAAACCAGGACCGCUCCGCUGCCCCCCGCACCAAGGCCGUUCUCCCUCGGGCUGGUCCUGGUGGCUCUCGUCGUGCCGCUGCCCGUGCCUCUGGGCAGGGCCCCUCAGCUCCGGUGGCAGCGACUCCUCCGUCCUCGCAUCGGGCUCCUGAUCCCACCGGGCACGACACCGAGGUCGACCCUGCCGAAGAGGAGCUUGAGCGUGCUGGGCGGACUAUUUCCGCUCAAGUGCGCUCCCCGUAUGAUGGACCGGAGUGUCCCAUCUCCGCUCUGGUCUCUUUCGACUCUCCGGCCCCCAUUGUGCGGUGCCCCGAGAUCGCUCCCAACAUGGGUGGUUGGGAUCCUCCUCGUCCGAUUGAUUUCCGCCACAACGUCCGCGACAUCAGGUCAUUCCGGAGCCGCAACCUUUAUGCUGAAGAUGAGAAGGAUCUCCGCCUUGAGUAUCGCUUUUGGCACUACUUUCAUUUCUACUAUUAUGAUUCUAUUCUUUAUCGCAAGUCUCUUAAGAAAGGGAAGCCUCCAGUUAUUCAAAUGAAGUAUAUCAUUGAGUACUCUCUUACCUCCACCUUCAAAGAUCAAGAGAUUCGGCAAAUGGUGGAAGACUUGCGCAACAUGGGUAUCUCGGGAUUGAUGGAGCUUCACAGGCAUUGGAACAAUGAGGUGAUUAUGCAGUUUUAUGCUUCAUAUUUUCAUGAGACUGACAGCGAGAGUGACACUGAUGUGAUUCACUGGACCACUGAGGGUCGUCACUACAAGGUGGAUUUUGUCACCUUUGCUCGUCUGCUUGGUUUCAAUGGGCAUGAUCGCCGUGCAGCAGAGAUCACUGAUUAUGAGGAUGUGGCUAUGUCUGAGUACCAGUUUAUGUAUUUGGAGGGCUUUCCUGCUGAUGGACAGACUGUUUAUCUGAAGCCCUAUUACUAUGUGCUCAACAACAUUCUCAGGCAGGUGUUGUACCCCAAGGAAGGAGACUCCACUUUUCUUAGGGAUGAUUCUCAGAAGGUCCUAGCUCGUUUUGGAGAUGAUUUCCAGAAGUUCUCCGUCAGUCGGUACAUCUGGAACAGGAUACAUGAUGCUUCUGAGGAUCCGGUCAAGAACCUUCCAUAUGCUCCUUAUAUCAUGCAUGUCAUUCAGCAAGUCUCAGGCAUUCGCUUCCCUACUGAUGGCUCAAAUCACAAAGUGCUGAGAUUGGCAAAUCGGGUCUCCGUUCAAGCAGCUAGGGCUUUGAAGGCUCGUGGUGCAGUUCCUCCUCCUCGCCAUGGUGGUCCUUCCUCUGCUCGUUCCCGUCGUGCUGCUCCUUCGCCUCCUGCUGUCUCUCGCUCCACCAGUUCGCAGCCGCUCACCUCAUCUGGCAAAGGCAAGAAGCCCAGCAAGUUCAAGUUUCUCAUGACAUAUAUGUUUGGACAGUGUUGUGCUAGUGCUCAGAGGGAGCAUGAUAUUCAGGAGAGGCUCUAUCGUCUUGAGCAGCAGGCUGGUGUUGUCUCUUCGCCUCCUUCGCCGUUUGUGCCUCCCCGUGAUCCUCUUGUUCUUUAUGAUGAGGCUUGCCAAGCUUAUCAGGAUGAGGCCACUUCUCGCCCUCAUGGCAAAGGUGUAGCUGCCCCUGAGGAUGAGGAGUACCAUGAAGAAGAACCUGAUGAUGAUGAUGAUGACGACGACGAUGAUGAUGAGGAUGGUGACGAUGAGGACUUUGACAUUGAGUAGCUGUUUCUUCUCUAACGCGGCCUACCCCUUUUGGCACUUGUUGACAAAGGGGGAGUGUUAGGCUUUGAUCUUUCAUGUAAUAAGCUAGAUGUCGUGGUUGGUAGACUUAAAAACUUUCUAGUUUGAAUUAUCUAUGUCUCGUGGUGGCACUAUGUGAUGGACACCUUUAUAUUUGUUAUGUGAGUUGGAUGAGUGUAGGACAAGUUGUUAAUAUUUUAUCUAUCUACUUUGUUUACUUGUCCUUGUCUCUUUUGUUUGAUUGUUGAUUGAGUUUUUGUGAUGGCCAUGAACUUAAGGUCUAUCUUGGCUUUUUGGCCAUCCUUUUCUCUCCACUUUGUUGUGUGAAUAUAAACUGUCAUAUUGCAUGCUCUUUCACGGUUACACUUUUAUUCACACUUGUUGCACCCCACGGAGUGCAAAAUUUAGGGGGAGCUUGUUCUUUGAUGUAUGUUUCUUACGUGAUGACAAUCACCAUUGAAAUUCAAAUUCAUGCAUACAUCAAGGGGGAGCUCGCUGUAAAUUUUGGACUUCAAAAGCUUUUUGAUUAUCUUUUGUAAGCCUAAACUUGGUUGUCAUCAAGCACCAAAAAGGGGGAGAUUGAAAGUGCAUUUGCCCCCUACGUGGGUUUUGGUGUAUUGAUGACAUCCAAUUUAGGGACUAAUGCGUUGUAUUUGAGAUUUGCUACAGCUACUAGUCUCAUGAAAGAUGCAAAGGUUCAACUUUAGAUGAAAUGGUAUCCCUCAAUCUUCGUUCAUGAGAAAGGCGUUGGAUUCAAUCUAGAGCUUAUUCGUUUUUAUUUUAACUUGGGGAUAGGUAUGCCGUACUAUCAAGAGGGAUUCAAAGGUUGUUGGUUUGGGGAAGAUAAAGUGCUCAAGUCUUUCAACUAAAUCGUUUUAGAGACACUCUAGCACCUCUCUUGUGCUUAGGAUUAACUUCUGUGACUUCUGGUGUCGGAAGUCCCGACGCGGGUCGGAACUCCCGACGUGCUGCGCGAGAACUGUGAGCGUCGGAAGUCCCGACGUGAGUCGGAAGUCCCGACGUUGAGUUCUGCGCGCGCACGCGUCGGAAGUCCCGACAAGUGUCGGAAGUCCCGACGCCAGGCCUGUCUCGCUCAAGCGCCAGUAGUUCCGGCCAGUGUCAGCAGUGCUGACCCGUCGGAAGUUCCGACGCAUGUCGGAAGUUCCGACACUGACUUCCUGCGCUGACCGCGGCUGCCUGCUCAACAGCUUUUCCCAGUGAGUGUCGGAAGUCCCGACACUAUGUCGGAACUUCUGACAUAGAUCUGAGCUGACUUUUCUCCCAGUAGUAUAAGUAGCUCCCUCUGGUUUUCUAACCGUUACACACUCAUUCUUUGCGACCAACCUUCAGGCAAAACAGCUCCCAAGCUUUCAAGACUCCCCUCCUCUCCUCCUCUUUGCUCCCAACUUCGAUUCAGCUUAGACUUGGAGUGAUUGGAGAGUGGUUAAGUGAGAGCAACGCCUUGAGAAGCUUGAGCACUUGAUCUCUUCGUCAAGCCGGCAGGUUUUGAGUUUAUUACUCUUGGGUUCUUGGAACCCUAGCCGGCUAGGCGUCGUCCAAGAGCUUCCAUCUUGUGGAAGAGCCUUGGAAAGUUUGUAUUACCCUGUUCUUCUUAGUGGAAAGCUCAAGUGAACUUUGUGGUUACUUUGAGGGAGGCAAGGAGGUGAAAGAGACUCCGACCUUAGUGGUCACCUCAACAACGAGGACGUAGGAACUCCUAAGUGGGGUAGCCGAACCUCGGGUUAAAUCCUUGUGUCUCUUGUGGUUGCUUUUCUUAAGUUCUACUCGUAUUACUUGUAUUUGCUUGUGCCUCUACCUCCUUUUAGGGUUUGGUCUCGAUCUACGGUUUGAGGAACUCUUGGUGUCAAGGAAGGCUCUCAACAUCCUCCUCUAACCACUAGAGAGUGGUGUUGUAAGUUGUGGAUCUCACAAAGUUCAUAUAAGCACUUGUAGUUCAUUUCCCGUAGGUGUCGGAACUGCUGACAGUUUGCGUUGGAACUUCUGACAACGUCGGAAGUUCUGACCCAAACUGUCGGGACUUCCGACAGUUGCUGACAAGUGACUUUGAGUUUUGUGUAGAAUUUUUUAGAUACGCCUAUUCACCCCCCCCCUCUAGGCAUUGUUUAGAUCCUUUCAACUUUGUUCUCUUCAUCUACAAGAAAUUUGUAGAAGAAUGUUUGAUCUUCUGCUGCCCUCUUCAGAAAGUAUUGCAUUACUGUGUUCAUGUCAUUUCCUUUGAUCUCUCUAUUUAUCUUUGUUCUCUCAUUUUGCACGUGCUUUGUUUUAUAUGGCAGGGCUGUUACAUUGCCUCUGAGAUAUGAGAGGAUUGCAAUCAUAUUUCUUGUUGGUAUAUUAUUUCCAUUCAAUGUCCUUAUCAUUGCCUUCUCCAUAUCUGUCAUAUAUUUCCUACCGCUGAAAAGUUGAUUCCUGUUGUCUGGACUGAGCUCAUGAUUGUGAUCUAAGUCUAGCCUUACUACUUUCCAUUUUCCAUUUUCUUCUUUCACUUCCAUUAGCACUAGGCAGUUUGAUUUCACUUGGAUAUUAGUCUUCCUUUUUGGCCCUUUGCCUUUUGCUUGAUGUAUCAUCAUAUCAUGUUCCUCUUCUUCUGGUGUCUUCUUCUUUGAUUCUUUUCCAUAUCGAUGGCAUCUCAUUUCCUGCUUGUAUAUCUCAUUAUUCCUCUUUUUGCUUGUUGUUCUUGUUGUAUGAGUAACAACAACCUCAAAUCCUGCUAUGAAGCCAUAGAAGCUAAAGAAAUGGUGCGCAUCUUCUCUGGUGUUGAACAGCAUUCCAAUCUGUGGUGUGUACUUACUGUUAGUAUAUGCAUUGUUGCCAUCGGCUAUUGCUUCCUGUUCUUUCCUGAGGAAUUCUUCAAUUUCUUCUUCUGUAAGUUCCUGGCUUCCAUUUGUCUCAUCAUAUUCUUUCAUGUUUUGAUCUGAUUGUUGGGCAAAUGAAACAUCUAACGAAUUCCAUAUAUCUGUUAUCUCAUUUUCAGAGGUAGUUGUUCCUGACCCUGCAAUUGUGUUGCUCUCUGUAUUCAUAUAUCUGGAAUCAACCUACAUUUUCAAUUUUGUAAGGUUAGUAUUUUAUUCAUUCUAGUGUGGAUUUUCUUGUGUAAAUGUGCAUACCUCUUGUACUUGCAUUGAGUUGAAUAUGUCUGUUCCAUUAAUGUCGUCAUCUUAAAAGUCUUCAGUUGAUAUGUAGUCCUGUUGAUGAUCCUGCUUCAAGAAAUACAUUUUUAUGUAUUAGUUCAAAGUAUUAUUUACUUUUUUAAUUUAUGUUGUCAUAUUUGCACUUACAUCAUAAUCUCUUGAGAAACUGAAAAUUGUUCGAUUGUUGUUCUCACUAUUUGCUUCCAUUGAUGCUUGGUCAGCCUGCAUGUUAAGAUAUAUUUUUAAGUUGAUUAGCAUCCUGCUAGUUGAUUUGUUCUUCAAAUUGUAUAUAUUUAGGUAUCUCACCUCAAUUCCAGAAGUUGUUGUAUUAUGUAAUUCAUCAGUUGAUUUCCUGUUGUAUAUUUGUAUCCAAUGGGGGUCCCAGUUUUCCUGCAAAUCCAGAAUUCAGGUAUCUAUCAGCAAAACAUGAAGUAAAGAUGUAUUGUUGUACCCUUAUGAAUAUGCAUUUACACCUGUACUGUGUCUCUGAUUAUCUGUUCUUCCUGAGAAGAAGACCAAGUUUGUUGCAUCAGUAGUGUUGUUAGUGGUCCCUGCAUAAUAGAUUAGUUUUAGAAUUUUUGAUAAAUAGUUUUUUUUGUUUUUUUUCUUUUCUUAAGCAAACCUGGUAGUUUAGCAGUUGUGCAGCUUGUGAUUCAAAAUCUUCAUUGUCCUCCAUUGUUUGAUUCUCCACUUGAGUAUUUGUUGACAGUGAAUAUAACCAUGGUCCUGGUAUCUGUUCUUUGCAUUAUAUGAAAAUUAUGAAAAAAUUUAAUAAGUCUCUUCUCAAGUAUUCUGUACAAAUAUAAUAAUUUUUAUUCUAAUUUAUACCUUGUUAUCCGUUGAUUUGUCUUUUGUUUUUGGGUUGUUCCGCACAUCUUUUUGUUCCUGCAUUUCAAAGAUAUUCAGUCACAUAGCAACUUCACUAUACACAACAAGAAUUCAAUUGACCAAUCUAUUUUCAGAUUAUUGAGAUCACCAAGGUCCAGUACUAAUCAGAGCACAUCAACAUGUCAACAUUGUUGUAUGUUUUAUUCUCAAAGUAAUUAUGAUAUGAUUGAUUUACUUACUUGUAUAGGUUCUGGAGCAUGUUCUUUCUCUUCUGCUGACAUCUUUGUUUGCUUAAUUUCAGGGUGCUGGCUUCAUAGAUCUGAUCCCGUGUCUCCCGUGGAAGGUUCUUCUUUCUUUCUUUCGUGCUCCUCACGAUAGUUCUUUAGAUCUAAUUACUUUUUGUAUCCAGGCCCUUUAUUCUUUCCUUUUUGCAUAUACCCCCUUGUUUCUAUUUUUAUUCGUGUCUACCUGUAGGUUUCUGGACUUGUAACAUGGCCAGUUAUGUGGGCCUGUUAUGUGAUCUGGGCCUCUAACUGGGCUUCUCAUUUUGUUGAUUCCUCUCUGUCUUUGCUGGUUAUGUCAAUGUGGUCCUUUAGUUGGUGCAGUUAAUGCUGGCACUGUUUCCAUUUAAUGGACACGACUCCCCUACCUUCCUCUCUUGUAACUGUGUGCACUUAUUACUUGGUCCUCCUUUUCACCUUCCCAUUGUAACGUGUACAUCCUUGUGGCCAUUUGGACUUACCACUGACUAUUUUUUUCUAUCUCCCAUCUAUUCCUGAAGCUUUAUAGUGUCUGUCUUUUCAUUCUUCUUUGCUUCCUUGUUUUUUUCUAUUCUUCUAUAAAGUAAGUUAUCAUUUUCCUUAUUCUUAUUCCUCUUCUUUGCUUCUAAUCCUUAUAAUCUUCUAUUCAUUCUUAUUGGCUUCCCUGAAGGCUGGAUUUUAAUCUGUUUUUUAAGUAGUACUACUGUAGUUCUCUUUUUAUUUACAUCUUAGAUCUAUUCUAGUUACUCAUGUUUUUGUGGCGUAACUUUUGUCUAUUAUGACUGUAAUUGUAUUAUUAUUUUAUUUAUUUGUACUUUUUUGUCCUAUGCAUAGAUUUCAUACAUGUACUGUAUAUAAUUUUUUAGUCAUUGGGUGAGAUAUUGAACAAAGUUUUUGCAAGGAGGAACUUUUUAGUAUGUGAUGUACUUCUCUACUCCUCUAUUUUGUAAAUACUUUCUUUCUGCUUCUAUGUAUAUUUCUGUAUUUAUAGUAUAUUUUAUAUUCACUUACUAUUGUCGAUUAGGUGAAAUUUAUAGGUAUCACUACUAUAACUAGUUCUUUGUUUAAAAAGUUACCUUGGCUUGGCAAGGAUUUUGUUUUUCAUUGAACAACUAUAGUUGUUCAUUAGUUCCUGUAGACUUCAACGUCACUUAUAGUUGUUCAUUAGUUGUAAUUGGUAUUCAUUUUUAAUGUAACUAUUUCUUAUUUACAUGACUAUUUCUAAUUUUAUAUAUUCUAAAUGGUUGCUGUUAAUAAACUUGUAGGCUGUUGAAUGGCUUGAUUAUGCCCACACUUUCUUUGAUGCUCUGAAUUUGAAAAUGCCUACUCAUUUGUUGAUGGAUUCUUGGCCUUCUGGACAUUUUUUGUUGUGAUGGCUUCACAAUUGCGAACUUUGUAGUUUGGUCAAAUCUUGCUGGUAAGCUAUUUGUUUGUUCAACAUUCUUAUUUCAUUAUGGCUCUAGCCAGCUAGGUUUUGUAAUAUUUAGCUUGCUGCAUCAUUUACCUUGAGCUAUUGUCAUAGCUAGCUGGAUAGUUAUAGCGUAGUUCAACUUCAUUUACAAUUGUUCUUCAGGUGUAAUUUAUAUGUACUAUUUUUGUAAGUAGUACUAAGUGUUAAAAGUUCAUUACUUGUCUAUUACUAAGUUGAGUCUUUAACAUAAUGCCAUCAUAUUUAUUUUGAUUUAGCUAUGUAUAUUGCAAAUUUUAGUUUUUUUCUAUGUUGGGUGCAGUAAAUCAUAAACAAAAUUAGUUACACUAAUAGUAGAUUUUUUUUGCAUUUUUGUUUUGUUUGGUCGUUGAAAUAGUUUCCAUUUUUUUGUGUUUUGCAAUUCAUAUAAUUUUUUUGGGUUUUUGUUUUUGUUUAUGAUUUUGUUAAUUAAUUGAUCAGAUUUGUGUCCUUCAAAUGGUUUUAAACAGUUUUCGUUUUUUGCAGUGCAUAUAAUUUUUUUUGCUUUUUGUUUAUUUGAUUUUUUCUUACUGAAAUGGACUCGUUUCAAUUCUAGUCUUUUUUUUAAAAAAAAAUCGUGCAUGUAGCUGUGUUUAUAUGGGUAUCUAGAAUUCGUGUGAUAUGAAUCUCUGUUUCACUCGAUUUUUGUUUGUUUUUGUUUUUAUGUGAUUUGGCCCUUUCUGUUACUCGUGUGAGCAAAGGCCACGAAUCACACAGUUUUUUAUUUGUCUUACAUUUGUGUGAUCUGUACCAUCAAAUUGCUUGAGUGAUCAAAAUGGUCAAAUCACUCGAGUUUCAUAUAAACAGAUCCAAUUAUUAUGGGUGGUUACCGAAGAAAUAUAGUCCAUUUAAAGAGAGACACUUGAUGUUGCUACAUGUCAACUGUUUUAAAAAGAUGUCUCGUGUAAUACUCUUUCUCACGUACUCCCUCCAUACUGAUAAUUCAAAUCAUUUUAGUCAGUCUCCACAGUAUAACUUUAAUUUCUUAUUUCUAUAAAAAUAUUUAUUAAAAAGUGAUGUAUGUAUAUAUUUAUAAAAGUAUUUUUAAAGACAAAUAUAUUCAUAUGAUUCUCAUAUUUUUAAACUCGACAACGUAAAAGUUUAUUUAUGAUUUAUAUUUUCAAUGUUUGACCCAAAUCUUGUCUAAACGACUUGAAUUAACAAUACUGAGAGAGUAUAAGUUUUUUAUGACGUGAUGAGAGAGAGAGAAAGGUGAGAGAAAGAGGUGAUGUCGUGAAGUAAACACCUCAUGAGCAAAAAUUUAGAACUAUAAGACAAUCAUUUCAUCAUUGUACUAUUUAAUGAUGCUAUGCAACUUAUAAAUUUUUCUUUGUUGACUACAAAAACUAAGGCAACUUAAAAUACAAUCUAUCUUAUGUGUCAAUUGUUCAAUGGCACCGUGACUGCGUGCCACUUGUGUAAGACCAUCUAUAAAAACACCUACAACGAUUAGAAAUCCUAAUUUUUUAAAACUAAGACCCUAUUUGGAUCAAGGAGAUAGUAAUUAGUUGUUAAUAAUUAUCUUCUUGGAUCCAAACAGAUCUAAUUAAAUAAUUUAGCUAAUUGUUAGCCGAGUACCCAACUAACAAUUAUCUUACUAGUUGGACCAAACUGGCUAAUAGCACAUACUAAUUAGUUGUUUUUUAGCAAAUCAGCUAAUAUUAGGUUACGAUGUAUUAGCUAGUUAACUAAUAAUAUCUAAUGUAUCCAAAUAGGCUCUAAACACCUGGUCUAGCUGUGUUUGAAUGAAAACGGUCCAGCGUAUAGUGCAGUGAGCAAAACCAAUUCUCACUCCUUUCCAAUAAAUAAAAAUAAUGUUUCUCUUUCUUUCCAGAGGAUGACACAAGAAAACAGUUUUUUUACUCUUUACAGUUUACACCCGUGCCCUUGGAGAACAAGCAAACUCCAGCACCUAUUGCUAGCGCUCGUUUGCUAACAAGCAUCACCCCAGCAACGUGUGACACCCAUCUCUAAUGUUUUAUCUCCCUCUUCGCUAGCAAUACCGAUGUACCUACCCUAAAAGAUAAGGUAUUAUGAUCAAUUUCUCUCUUUAAUCUUAUGAUAAUAUGCCUGAAAAAUCCUAGAAAUUUAAGUUUUUUUUGGAUGUGAAGAUUAAUAGUUUCAGUCAGUAUUGCGUCAAAAAAUAGUUUCAGGCGGUAGUAAUGACUAGACUUGUGCCCGCAAAAAAAAUGACUAGACUUGUUUGGAUCCAUCUUGUUAACACUUGCUUUUCUAGAAACUUUCACUCCACACUGGUCGUAGAGCAACGACUUGGAAAACAAAAUAGAUCCAACUUAAUAGUAAUUCAAUUAAAUCUAUGCUACUAUUGAUUGCGUUGAUUAUAGAAUAUAUUAUUAUGAUAAAUCUAAUUGAAGAUAUAAAUAUUGAUAUUUUUCAUAUAAACUCGAUUAAGAAACUUAGAAAAGUUUGAGUUAUGCAAAACUAAAAUUGCAUUGUUUUAGGACGGGGAGGGAGUACUCACUAGUCAGUUAGUCACUGCUGGGGUGCAGGAAACCAAACCAGGAUGCUGUAGUAAGGCCUUGUUUAGUUCCAAAAUUUUUUGCAAAAUCGACACUGUAGCACUUUCGUUUGUAUUUGAUAAAAAUUGUUCAAUCAUGGACUAACUAGGCUCAAAAGAUUCGUCUCGUCAAUUUCAACCAAACUGUGCAAUUAGUUUUUAUUUUCAUCUAUAUUUAAUACUGCAUGCAUGCGUCUAA
rnacentral:lncRNA from 1 species